rnacentral:lncRNA from 1 species
CGGAGCUAAGUUUAAGCUCUUCUGCUCAGAAUUCAGAUCCUAGGGUUUCGUUUCCUUUCCCUCUUCUUUCUCAGAAGUUAAGCCCCACCAAAACCUUCUCAAUCCUCUACAUUUUGCCUCUUCGCUUUCCACAUUUCACCUCCAUUAUCAAUUUCUAUCUUCCAGGAAAAGCUAACUCCUCUGGACCUGCCACAUCAAUCGAUUCAUGGCCAAAACCAAACCAGGCAAAAAAGACCUCGAUUCCUACACUAUCAAAGGCACCAACAAAGUUGUUCGACGUAUGUACUCUCUCUCUCUCUCUCUCGCUCUCUCUAUUGGUGGAAUCUCCAUUAUUUCUUUUUUGGCUUUAGGAACCCAUGAAUUUCUCAUCUUUUUUCCCCCCUUUUAGAACCCAUAUUCUCAUAUUGUUUCCUUUUUUUGACGUUAAAGAUUUUGAAAACCCAGUAUUAAUGGAAGUUUUCAUACUUUGUUUUUCAUCAUUUUUAAUAUUGGGUCAUUUGUUUUCCCGUUUGGGUCUCUCUGAAGACCGUGGAAGUUGCUUAUUUUAUUGCUUAUUCUCAAAAACCCCAAAAUCUCGUUUUUAUGAUAAUUUUUGAACUGCCCAUUUUGCAGAAAUAUUGUCUAAUUUUUAUUUUUUGAUCAUUCAAUGUUUUGUUCAUUUUGUUGCAGCUGGUGAUUGUGUGUUGAUGCGCCCAUCGGACUCCGAUAAGCCUCCCUACGUCGCACGAGUUGAGAAAAUUGAGGCCGAUCAUCGCAAUAAUGUCAAAGUCCGUGUCCGGUGGUACUAUCGGCCGGAGGAGUCCAUUGGUGGCCGCCGUCAAUUCCAUGGGGCAAAAGAGCUCUUUUUAUCGGACCACUACGAUGUGCAAAGUGCACACACAAUUGAAGGCAAGUGCAUCGUGCACUCAUUCAAGAACUACACUAAGCUUGAAAAUGUUGGAGCUGAGGACUACUUCUGUAGAUUUGAAUACAAGGCUGCCACUGGUGGGUUCACCCCUGAUCGGGUAGCUGUGUGAGUAUUCUUAUGCAUUUUCUGUUAUUUGGUUUGAAUUGAUUUUGUAGGUUUUUAAGUGUUGAAGUAAUUGGAUUAUUCAACUGAGACCUGGAUUCUUUUUUCUUCCUUGUAAGGUACUGUAAAUGUGAGAUGCCAUACAAUCCAGAUGAUCUAAUGGUGCAGUGCGAGGGUUGCAAAGAUUGGUAAAUUUUUUGCGGACUCUCAAUUUUUAACAAGAAUUAUAUAUAUUAAAUUGCAACGAUUACAUUUACAUAUUCUGUUGAUCUUUUAAUUUGUAGAAGCCACAUGAAUUUUGAAUUAGUGUCCGACAUACUGUCCUUUUGGUCUGUUAAUCAAAUGUUUCAUGGUAGUAUUUCCAUUAUUGAUAUACUUAUAACCUUGCGCUCAAUUUAAACCUCUGUUUGGCUGGUUAAACACUUAGUUAACUUAAGUGAGCCAAGUGAUGCUGUACCUUGGAUCAGAUUAUUUGCCAUUCCUAGGAUGCAGAUUAUUUGUUCUGCACCAACUUCAGCAAGCUGCAAGCCUGCAACACUUUGAGAUAAUCAUUGAGCUGUCACUGUAGUAGGGUUUUGUCAAAUUUUUUCUCUUUUUCCCUCCUCCUCUAUCCAUACAUUUCCACAAUACAUGGUUUCACAUAUUAGGAUUGUUUGUAAUUUUACCUGUAGCUCCUUCUUAUUUAUCCCAAAUUAAUUUAUUUUAGUUGAUUGUUUAAGCCUUGCAUGGAUACUAGUUUUUCGACUCAUGAUGUCAAGGUAACUACAUCAAAUCAGUUUCAAUUGACAAUAGACUGUUUGCACAUCAGCAAAAUUAUGUGAUAAAUCAAGAUAGAUUGCCGUCAUUCCUAGCUUGAUAUCAUAGCUCCAGAACACAGACCAGUUCAGGUAUUAUGUCUGGAGAAUCUAAAACAAGGGCCAUUGUGUAGAAGUAGAAUCAAACUUGGUUCAGGAGGAGUGUAAGGCAAGGGAUUAACUGCACUGGCAGAUCGACACUGUAUGCUAGUAACUUACAGUGUGAAAGGGAAUGCUUGAAAUGUGAAGAAACUUGAAGUUUUAGUCUUCAAAUGGCAAUAUUGGUUUUCAUAUCAACAAAAUUGUGUGAGAAGUUAAAGGGAUUAACUGCACUGGCAAGGGAUUAACUGCACUGGCAGAUCGACACUAUAUGCUAGUAACUUAUAGUGUGAAAGGGAAUGCUUGAAAAGUGAAGAAACUUGAAGUUUUAGUCUUCAAAUGGCAAUAUUGGUUUUCAUAUCAACAAAAUUGUGUGAGAAGUUAAAGUCUGAUUCAGGCUUCUUAGUAAUUAUUAUUAUUAUUAUUUUUUUGGGGGCGGGGUGGACGACUUGAGGCAAUGUAUCAUCUAAUAAAUGCGGAGGUUCUUAAGGUAUGAAAUAGAAUGCUUGAUAGGGAUUCUUCCUAAGAAUGAUUAAUAAUUGAUCUCAUAUGCCUGAUGAUCAAAAGUAAUAAACACCUGAUAUUGAGUUGUAAGCAGAAAACUUAUGUUAUAUUGCAGGUGCUUACUUAAAAAUGUGUCAUCCUGGUGUUUGGGGAUAGUUUCAAAUCACCUUUUAUCAUAGUUUCAACAUCAUAUUAUUAUGAAUUGGAUUCAUGAACUUUCUUACUUGUAGUAUUAAGAAAGGUCUCAUGGAGUUUUGAUGGGUUCUUUGAACUUUUUUGGAUUAAUGGUAACAUUGUGUUUCUUGUCUGUCAAAGCUGGUUAACUUUAGAUUGUUUAAACUUUUAGAUGAAGUACCCAAUUUAUAUUGGAAUUUGGAACUCUUUCACAGCUGAUUGGGUUUAUUUAUUUAUUUUUAUUAUGCUAUCAACUAAUUUUGGAAGUGACACUUUCCUUUAAUAUCCUUAACCAAGUGGAAUAGACAGAUCCAUUUAGCUGAUCCAUUAGAUUGAGAUUAAUGCUUGAUUUUACUAAGUAGAAACAUUAUGGAAAUAGAUCGAAACCAGGAUUUGAUGGUUGAACACUUAUUUAACCGUGGUGCGCUUUUUUGAAGUUGUGAUAUAUCAUCCACUGCAUAAUCAGAUAGUACAACUUGUCGUAUUGGAUUGUUAUUUUGUGCUUGAGAGACUAUGCAAUAGCAGUAAGAACACUAAAAACUGUGAUUCCCUAACAGCUUUGCUAAUACAUUGCAGGUUUCAUCCUUCUUGUAUGGGUAUGACAAUUGAAGAAGCCAAAAAAUUGGAUCACUUUCUGUGUUUUGACUGUUCCUCUGAUGAUAAUGCCAAAAGAACUUUGAACGCGUUCCCAGUAUCACCAUCUGUUGAGGGCAAGGUGAGCAUUGUGUCCCAUCUCCCUAGUACAACUCCAGGUGUGGGUGAAUAAGUAGGGUCUAGAUGUCAAAUUUAUCAUGUUGUUGUAGCAGGGUGAAGGAAAUUGAGAACUAGUGAUCAGCUUCGCUGCAUAAUAUGCUGACAUUCUUUGUUCUGCUAGUUCUCGUGGUGUUAAUCUUUUUUUACAACUUGGUACUCAGUUUCUCCAUCCAUCCUUUUUCUCUGUCAGUUUUGCAAUCAAGUUAUAUUCUCAUCUCAAGGAUUAUAGGAUGAUGCUCAGCUUGUUGUCUUAGACCUCAUGCUUUGGUCUUGCACAAUCUUUGCCCACCUUACCUGUCAUAUAACCUGUUUUCACUGUGCAACCAAAUUUCAGCUUUGUCACCUAUAGGAAUGUAACUAAUGAUGAAAAUGCCAACUGAUUUUGACGGUAUGGAUGUAUAGGGGCUUCUUAAUAUGAAUGCAGGAAAUUUCUAUAAAGUUUGAUAUGGAAGAAAUAGCUGAGAGCCACAAUAAUUUGGAGGCAUAUAUAUUGUGAUUAUGACAUCGUUAAGCGAUUAAAGUAGUGCAAACAUUGUAAAAGAGUACAAUACUCUCUGUGCUGAUAUUGCAUGCAGCUCUACUGAUUUGUGUUAAAGUUUAUCCUGGGCUGAUUGUGUCUUUGCUAGUUCCAAAUUUUGGUUCCAUGUACUAAUAUUCUAAGGCCUCUUGGGCCUUUGGUAUUGUUGUUAUUGGUUGUGUUUCGUACGUUCAAACACACAUAAGAAGAUUGGCCAAAUUAUGUUCAGUUCAUUUGGAACUAAGGAUUACUGACUUGAGCAUUACUAUUUCCAUUGGCGGGCAUGAAAAGAUGCAUCUUAACAUGAUGGUCCAUCAAAUGACAUUUUACUUGUUCAAUUGUAUUGCAACAUAAACCUCAGAUGGUACGUGAAUAUUGGCCGAGUUAAUUUGUCUGUUAAUGAACAAAUGCACAUGGGAUGGGGUUGGUGUUUGAUUUGGAUUUCUUUUUUAGUGUCUUAACAAGCAUGCCAGCACCUUCUUAUUGCAAUUAAAUUUAAACUGUGUAGUUAUAUUGUUUCAAGGUAGAGCAGGGGAUUAGCAAAUAGAAUACAUGCUUAGUUAAUUUAGAUCAUUGAAUGUUGGAUUAGAUAGAGAGAGAGAGAGAGAGAGAGAGAGUUUUCAUUUAUAUUUAGGGAUAAAUUGAAAGGUUUGAUGCACAUGGGACGGGGUUGGUGUUUGAUUUGGAUUUCUUUUUUAGUGUCUUAACAAGCAUGCCAGCAGCUUCUUAUUGCAAUUAAAUUUAAACUGUGUAGUUAUAUUGUUUCAAGGUAGAGCAGGGGAUUAGCAAAUAGAAUACAUGCUUAGUUAAUUUAGAUCAUUGAAUGUUGGAUUAGAGGAAACAGCUUAAUUGGUGUGACCUUGUUCAUCCUAGUUGAUAGUUUUCAUUUAUAUUUAGGGAUAAAUUGAAAGGUUGGAAUGGAUGUGUUGGUGGCAGUGAAAAGUACCACCUACUACCUAGGAGGUUGGACUUCAAACAGGUUCUGUUUCUAUUGAGGGCAAUGUCUAUGCAGCAGUGAUUAUUUGAGCUCCUAUACUCUGUUGAGAAAUUGGUUUUUUAUUUGCUUAGUCGAUUUUUUUCCCCUUUUUAAUUUUCUCCAUCAAUGGUCAGUAUGCUCUUGCUUGAUCAUGGUAAACUAGUGUAGUAAUGCUUUACACUAUGUGUCAGAGGAAGUUAGUUUUUAAAGAAGGUAAGGUUUUUGGAGUUCCUCCAUACCUUUAAACCACCCCCGCCCCUUCUUCACCUCACGAAAUUGGUGAAUCAGAGAAGUUUUGAUACUGUAAUUGCUAUUACCUUACAUUAAAAGAUCUCCAUAUGUUCCACCAAGCAUGCUGUUACCAUUUCUUUUAGCUAACAAAAGUCAUCAGUAGUGCCAUUUUAAUGUGAAAUGGCAUGCAAUGGCCAGCAUAGCUGUCUGCUUCUAGCUUUAGCAUAUUAACAUUUACUGGUUGCUUUCUGGUUAUAGUGUUAUAUACAAAAAAAAAUUUUUGUGAAAGGGUUUCCUGAUGUUUGCAGAAACUUGUAACUUUAUGAUGGCAUUCUUGAAGUGCUGCCAAAUUAUUUUGACUAACUCACAUGCAUACACACGGGAACGAGAAUGUCAUAUGUACAAUAAUCAGACUGGUACUUUUACCAUAGCAGACUUUGUUUACAAUUUCAUCCUAUUAAAUUUUACACAUUACUUUUGCUGCUUAUCACAUGAUACUUCUAGAAUUUGGGAUGGGAUCUUGUAGUUUAGUUGUCUAAAAACUCUACAUGUCCAUUUCCUUUAGAUCUUCUCUGUUGUGUGGAAGCGAAAUAUUGUGUAAUUUUCUAUUUCUACUUUAUAGGUUUUGCUUCUUUACACUUACUGGUGAUUUGCUCAACAUGGAUUUUAUAUAUAAAAGAUUUUAGUUUUAACAGAAAACAUUUUUUGAUGGUUGCAGAAACUAGUAACUUUCUGGUGUCUUUCUAAGGUGUUCCCAUGUUAUUUUGACUUUCCUAAGUUGCUUAUUUGCAUAAGUAUUAUCUGUACAAGUAUCUGACAUGGUAAACCCUAGCAUACUUUCUUUAUUUAUCUAACAUGAUACUCGUUUGGUAUUUUUGAUUUUAUAACUUGCUUUAGCUUUCUCUGUUGAAACUUAUCUCUAUUUUGCAUCUCUUAGUAAAUCUUUGUGCUUGAGAGUUUGGGAUGGCAUUUGAUUGUUUAGAUAUUCGAAUGCUCAUCUCCUCGAGUUCUGCAUGGAGCUAAAUGUUGUAGUCCUAUUGGUGUCCAUAAUUAGUGAUUAUUUUAUCUGUAUGAUGCAUAUAUCUGACCGAGUCAUGAAAUUAUCUAACACUCAUGAGCAGGUGGCAAAAUCGGAUGCCAAUCUUUGUGGGGAGAUUGUAUUCCCUGUGCUUUGCCAAUUUUGGUCAGAGAGAAAAUAAUGUUAAUUCAUUAAAGGAUUUAAGUCGUAUUUAUGGAAGUUAAUUUAUCAGAAGCAUUAGAAGUUCUGAAUAAUUAGUGAAUUUUAUUGCAAAAGAUGGAGGUGUAGCCUGUGUAAGUUUAAAUGGCAUAUUUUGCCAGUGGAUUUAUGAUAAAUGCUUUGGAAAAGAAUGCUUUGUUUGUGUGUUGAAUGAAGAAGAAUAUAUGUAUUAAUUCCUAUGAAAAGAAAAUUCAUUUCAAUUGAUAUUUUGAUUCUUGAUUGUUUCUAAUAUAGGAUUAUUAGUCUUUUCUGUUUUUUUGUCCUUUUACUCUUUAUGAUGUACUUUUCUUGUCUUGGUUUUUUAUGCUAGGUGGAGACAAAGCGAAGGAAGAGAUGACAGAUAAUCAUGAUGGGUAAUUGGGAGGUACUUUUUCUUGCACAUUAGCUCCAGUAUGUUAUUGUUGCCUGUUGUUCAAUUUUACAGUGCUGAUAAGAUGUUGUGCUUGCACAAGCUAGAGGCCCUUCUUAUUUAUAUUUUUCUAUUGUUUGUUCGUGUGAAUGGUCUUAGGAGAUGAUCUGUAGUGCCUAAUGAUGUCCUCAUGAGUACUGUGCCAAAAAUUGAAGUAUCUUUUUUCUUUUCUGCGCCAAUGAUGAUGAAUCAAACUAAAUGUCUCGUGAACCUUGGGUUUGUUAUGGUAUAUGCUAUAUAUGUGAUAAACUCAUCCUGUUCUUCCUUUCUUCUUCCCUUAAUCACAAGGGAUGAGGAAAUAGGGGUUGGGUUUUAGCAAGAGAUGUAACAGUCGACUUAAUCCAGGCACUGUUUUGGACUCAAAUCUUCACGUGGGGUGAUUUGUUGAUGUAGAUGAAGGCAAAUAUCACUCAGUCUCAACGUCCAAGAGUGGUUAUGGUUUUCUUGUUCCUUUUUUUUUUUGUUUUUUUGUAUAGAUGGCUCUGGACAAAUUUUCGAGCCUGUGUCCCAAUUCUCUAGUUGCCAAGUCUUCUGAAAUUUUGAAUCACCUGUUGAAGGUAGCUGAUUGAAUGUGGGAUUUCCUCUAUUGAGCAGAGCUGCUGAUAGCCUUGCCGAGGGCAUCAACUGUUCCGUCUGAAUUUCUAUGCAUAUAUAUGAAUAACCAUAUUUGUGGGAGCAGGGGAGCAAUGCCACCAUCUAUUGGUGAGCAUCUUGAUCUAAUUAUGCAUAUUUUUGUUAUCGACAGCCUUUAGUUGAGAAAGGGAGAGGGAAAAGUGGACAUUGAAGGUCUGUGUGCAUAAUGCAUGAAUGGGUUUCUUGAAGGAUUUGGAAUCCCACACACAUGUUCUUAGAUGAUAUUUUAAUCACAUAUAUCAGAGUUGAGUGCUGGGAAAGUAAAUGCAAUUUAUUGUAUUAUACUGGAUCUUACUGGUUUCUGAGGGAAAAGGUACUAGUCAAAAUUGCAUGGUUAAGAAGAAAAAACAGAAAGAAAGCAGGGAGGAGCACUGUUUGAAUGCGGAUCGUUAAGCAAAUGUUGGUUGUUGACCAACAUCCAUGUAUUAUGAAGGAUUUUAGUAAAAAAAAUUACAUUUUGAAAAAAAGGGUGAACUAAUGAAAACUUAAAAGAGAUUAUUUGUGUUUGCAAGUUCAUAAAGAGUUCAUAAAAUAUCUGAUCUCAAACAUGUGUAUCUAAAUAAGGAGAAAUUUAUUAUUUAGGAAAAUUUAUUACUCGAUUUAUUGGGGUUGAAGAAUAUUCUGAGAUUUUAAAAAAUUUAUCAAAUAAGUUAUUUUUUUAUUUUAGCUAUUAGACUAAGAAAAAUUUAUUAGUUUUAGUCUCUUAAUUUUCCUACUGUAUUAAUAGUAUUGUUAAUUUUUUUAUAAUAUUUAAUGCUUAAAAUUAAAUAGCGAAUUAAUUAGUUUAUUUUUUAAAAUUUCAAACAUUUUUGUAUAUUGUUUAAAAAUAAAGAAUUAACUUGUUGUUUUAUAUUAUAUAAACUAAAUAAUAAUUUUUUUCAAACAAUAUAUCAAUUUUUACUUUUGUUUACUCAAAGCUUAGAAACAAGAAUUAAUUUCCUUGUUCGCUACCUGUUUUUAAAUGGAGUUCCGUUGCCAUGUUAACUUUUUUUUUUUUCUCCCUUUUUUUUUUAAAUCAAAGCCUGAAACUUAAAAAUACAUAAAAAGCCUAGGACAGAAAAUCCAAAUGAGAAUACCCACAACUCAAAUAUAACAAAAUUCAAAUCCAGAUUGAAAUCCAAGCAUCUUCUAGAAGGGAAUUGCUGCCGCUUAAAGCCAAUGCCAUAUUUUAGCAAAUCCAAAAAUCAAUUUGAUGCAAAUUAAAGAACACCAACCUUGUGUUAGACGCUUUUGGACAGAAAAAAUCCCCAAUGGAAAUAAUUGAAACCAAGCUAGCGAUGGAAGGUCUUUGAUUUCUUCGGGAGCAAGCUAUAUCCUCAAGCACUUAAGGCACUAGUAAAUCAGUUACAAUUCACCAUCAGAGACACUAUGGAGUCGCUAUCCCAUCCAUGUAUGAGGUUUGGAGAAGAAAAGAGAAGAAAUAGAGAAAUUUUUAGUUUGGCCUUUAGAGUUAGCAGACAUUGGGAAACGCUGCUUUUAGACCCUAAAGUCUGUUUUCUCAAACAUCGCAUCAAUAUCAAUACCUCUGAUACAUACAAGAAAAGCAAACCAACCCACAAAAAAGAAAAAACAAGAAGAGAAAAACAAGAAAAAGCACCCAACAAUAACAAUUUAAAUUCAAUAGAACCCUGCAGGAAAACUCAAUAGGCAAGAUAACUCUUUUACCAUUCGCUCUAUUAUGAGAGAAAAUAGAGAAAUAAAUUCAAACAAUGCAUACAUAACUCACCGUAUGAAAGAAAAUAGAGAAACAAAUUCAAACAGUGCACAUACACAACAACUCUUAUGAGGAGAAUUAAUCUAUAAUCCGAAUAGAGGAGGAAAUAGAGAAAUAAAUUCAAAUAGUGUAUACACAACAACUCUUAUGAGGGAGAAUUAAUCCAUAAUCCGGAUUGAGGAGGCUUUCUCUCGCAACAAAAAAGAACCUAAAAAGUUAAGAGGGAAAAAAUUUUUUUUUAUUAACUUUUCAAUAACUACUCAUUUUCACAUUAAAUCAUAACUGAUUCUAAUUUAUAAAUAAUGUAAAUAUUUUAAUCUAUUAUAUAAUACAAGAAAAUUACACGAACUCCAUAUUUAAAAUUACAAUAAAUUUAUUUAAAAUCAUAAAAAUUUAUUUUUCUUAAUUUUUUAAAAAAUAUUUUUCAUAUAUUUAAAAUUGAAUCAGACUAAUAAUAUAGUCAUAAAACAAAACCAAACUAAAUGUUAAACCAAAAUCAAAUUAUAAACCAUUUUAUGACUCAAUUAAAAUAGAAUAGAAAAUAUUAAUAAAUUUUGGGCUAGAAAUUAACUUGGGCAUGAUUAAUAAUUAGAGAGCUGAUGUAGCAAUGGAGGUUAAAUUUAGCAAAAGGAGUUAAUGGUAGGAUAAACUAAUCCUAUGAUAACAGUUCAAGCUAAAUCUAUCAAGACAAAAAAAAAGGAUAGAAUUAUUAAGUGGUUAAGGUUAUAUAUAUAGUUAUGUUCUAUCAUAUUAAACUAUAUGUCAUUUUUUGUUUUGAAAUAAUAAUUUUAUUUAUUAAAUUGCUGUAUUUUUAUUUAAUAUAGAUUAAAAAACUAAAACCUAUUAGUUUCUAAAAUAAUUUCUUUUUAUUAAGAAAUUUCUAAAGUAAUUUAAAACAUAAGGUAUUUAAUCUUUUGGAAGAUUUACAUUUUAGUUUCUGAGUAUUGCCACAAUUAACAAGUCAGUCCCUGCGUUUUUAGAAACCUAUUAAAAUGUCCUUAAUUUUUCUCUCCGUCAACGAAAUAGUCCUUCUGUCAUCUUUUCCGUUAAAAAUAGAUAAAGGAUGAGAGUGAAAAUUUUUAAAAUUCGAUUUUGCCCUCAAAUAAAACUCCUUAUUUAGUCCUUGGAUAUUGUUAUUAUUAAUAAGUCAGUUCCUACAUUUUCAAAAAUCUAUUAAAACGUCCUUAUAUUUUCUCAUAUCCAUUAAAACGUUCUUAUCGUUUUUUUCCGUUAAUGAAAUAGUUCCUNNNNNNNNAGAAGAAGAUGAUGAUGAAGGAGAAGAAGAAGAAGAAGAAAAAAGAAGAAGAAGAAAGAGAAGAAGAAGAAGAUGAUGAUGAUGAAGAAAAAGAAGAAGAAGAAGAAGAAAAAUCUUCUCCUCCUCCUCCUUAAAGAAUAAGAAUCCUUAAAGAAGAAGAAGAAAAAGAAGAGCCAAAGAAGAAGAAGAAGAGGAGGAAGAAUCAAUGAAGAAGAAGAAGGAUGAGGAGGAGGAGGAAAAGAAGGGGGUAAUUUGGUCUUUUGCUAUAUCUUUAACGGCAAUGAUUAUUUUGUUGACGAAAAAAAAAGAUAAGAGCGUUUUAAUAGGUUUCUAAAAAUGCAGGGAUUGACUUGUUAAUAAUAGUAAUAUUCAACGAUUAAAUUGUAAAUCUCCCUAAUUUUUUUAUGAGUAAGAAAAUUCAAUAAAAUUCAUUACUUAAUCUAUGUCAACUUUAUUUUAUUAAAUAAAAUAAAAAAAUUUAUUUUUUGAACAAAUCUUCCUUUAUUAUAUGCCUCUUUCUAUUUGAAAUAAUAAAUUAUUUAUGAAUUUAUUAUUAUGUUAUUAUUUAAUAUGCCAAUAAAAAAAUUUAUCCAUUGUAGAAGUAAUUUGAUGUAAUAUAAUAAUAUUAAGAAGAAGGUUAAACAAAAGUUAUUAUUUUAACUAUAUUAAUCAUUAUCUCUUCUUAAAUUAUAUUAGAAAGAGUAAUAACUAUUUAUAACUUACAAGCAAUUGCUAUAACCUUGAAUUCAACAUGUAACAUGGGAGACCUUUCUGUUAUUCCAGAUGUAACUAUCAUCUUUUCCCAAAAAAAAAUUAUGUUUACUUGUCCUCUGUUAUUCAUAAAAAGAAAUUUUUUUGUACGUAUCAACUUUAUGUACUCUCGAUCAUGAUAGUUUAUGCACACUCGAUCAAUAGAAUAUGAUAUGACUCGAUACUUUUUCAAAUUAUAUUAUACGAUAGUGACCUUUUAUUGGACCAUGUGAUGAUGAUCAUGAUUAAGACACUCGAAUAUCCAGACUUAAGUGCUUAAGGCAUAAAGGCUCGAUUGUUCAUAGCAUUUGCUUGGUUGACUUGGAUCCUUGAAGGCUCGCUUUGUUGAGGCAAAGUCUCAAGCCUUUCCAUUUUUUACCGUUGAUAGUUAUUGCGAUGUAACCACCAGAAUCCCUACAAUCAUGGAAUCUCUUAUUCACUUACCGGUACAUUCCGGAUUCUUAGGGAAACUACUAGCCAACCCGAUCUUCUUGAAAUAUAAAGGUAAUUUAGAAUACAGGUUCAAGGUAUACAUUCUACUACUCACUUAAAUUGAUUACAACUCUUAUUUCACUCACACAUUUUAGCAGUUUCUAACUUGAGCGUCGAAGUGGUCGCCUCUAAGCACCAACCACCUCACUUUUUCUCUUUGUAGAUUGCUAGGUUAUAUAAGGAGCAUUCUCAACAAAAUCAUUUAGUUCUAUUAUCAGGAUCUCAAAGAGUUGUCUUGAUCAUUUGGAAAAAUCUGACUUGUUCAAUAAUUUCUACUCUUUUUCCUUCUUAUUCAAAACUCAAUUUCUCCAAUGAUAAAUAGCUCACAAACAGUUACCAAGUUUGCUGCAAAUGGGGGGGCUAUUGUCUCUUGCACUUUGAAACGUAGACAGAACAUUCCCCCUAUCUCAGUCGAAAUGGAUCUUAAUACUUUGAACAAUGAGCAGAUGAUGCAAUAUACCAAAAGACUGCAGACUACUUUUGAGCAAUAUAAGGCUCAGGAUAAGGCUUUACAAGGUAUCACCAAGGUAAGAGAAGAGACCUCUCAGAAGACGCCUAGAGCUAGGGGAGAGGCAACCAUGCCCAAUCUAAAGGGAAAGGUAAGAUAGAAGAUGAAGAAUCCUCAGACGAGGCGUCAAGAAGUGUAGAUUGAAAGCUUGUACACGCUGUAAAGAGAUUUCAAAAGGAGCAGGAGGAUGACUUCGAGUGGGGGAUGCCUCGCCUAAUGAAAUCUUGGCAAAGACUUUUCCACUAAAAUUCAAGUUAUCCAGUUUAGAUAAGUAUGAUGGGAUUUUGGACCCAAGGAGUCAUUUGGCCAUUUUUUGAACUACAAUGCAGCUGCAAGACGUUAAUAAUUUUAUCCUAUGCUGAGUCUUUUCAUCUGCACUAAUAGGUCUGACCCAAAAAUGGUAGCAGCACCUUAGUUAGGUUCUAUUAACAACUUCAUUAAGUUUGCUGUAGCUUUUAAAUCUAAAUUCAUUAUAUGCAUACCUCCAAAGAAGCUCUCAUUUGACCUCGGAAGAUCCGGCAAGGUGGGGGAGAGUCUCUGAGGAGGUUGAUUUCAGGGUUCAAUGCUGAGGCUAUACAGGUAGAGAACCUGAAUCAUAAGAUAGCUUGCAAAGCAAUAAAGAAGGAACCAAGAAAAUAAAGUUUAUGGAUUUGUUAAUAAAGAAUCUGGCGACCACCUAUCAACAACUGAUGGAUAAAGUCUAGAAGUAUAUAUGACUGGAUGAUGAAGUAUAGGUCUUGAGAUAAGAUAAGAGGGCGGAUCAGAAUAAGACCCAAAAAUCAAACAAGCAAAGUCAUGAAAGUGAAAGGAGGAGCUACUUAGUAUCAUGAGGCAGGGAUGAUAUAGGUAAUUAUAGAAGUUAUAUUCUGCUAAAUGACUCACAGAUACAAAUACUCAUGUAGAUAAGGAAAAACAACAAGUAAGUGAAAUAACCUGCUAAGCUUAACCCAGACAAGGCGAGCAGGCAGGACAAAACAAAGUAUUGCCGAUUCCACGAAAAUCACAGGCACACAUAGAAGAAUGCAGACAAAUAAAAUAUGAGAUUAAAAUCUUUAGCGAUGGAACUCUGAGAAGAUUUAUGAGAAAAGACAGGGAUGAAAGAAGAUUAGAACCUAAGGUAAGAGCACUAGUUAAUUCUAGUGUACCCUUAGGGGUCAUAAAUGUGAUUGCAAGGGGACUGAGCUGCAACAAACCAAAGAAUAAGCGCACCCCUAAGGAUGUUCUUUCUUUUGAAAAAGACCUAUAGGCAAGGCAAGAAAUGACAUUUAGACCAAGCAAUAAGACUAUUGAGUCAUCACACAAUGACCCACUGGUGUAAGUAUGAGGUUAAAUAGGUAUGAGGUUAAACAAGUGCUCGUUGACACGAGAAUCUCAAUAAAUUUCUUAACCCUCGAAGUUCACAAUAAAGUAGGCUUAGGAGAUAAAAUUGUGAUAGUUCUAGGCACCGUCAACCUCCCGCUUGUGUUGAGAGAUGAGGACAAGUGAGAAGUGUAUGCAAAAUUUACAAUAAUAGGCAUUUCACUAGUAUACAAUGUCAUACUUAGACGCCUGGUCCUGAACUGCCAUGUUAUUGUAAUUAACACGGGUUUCUUAUGCUUAAAGUUACCAGCCCCAAGGGAGUGGCGGUAGUCCGAGGCAAUCAAAAGUCAGUUCAGGAAUGUUAGAGGCACUCCACCAAAGACCUCAAAAAGAUAACAAUGCCAAUUGAAUUAUUGAAAAAGUUCGAGUCUCACACAAAGCUUGAGCCAGCAUAAAAAAAUGGUAUGAUUUGUUUCAUAAAGCUUUCCCAACCUUGAAAUUUAAAGAGUUCGGGUAAAUCAAAAUCCAAAUCAAAUAAAGAACUCCACUAAAUAUACCUGGGGAUGAAGAUAUUCCUUUUUACAGAGGUAGGCUUUUCCAAUGUUCUUGCUUUCUUAGCAAAUGGUUCAGAGAUGGUGAUUCCACUGCUCCUUUUCUUGUACUUUGAGAUUAAAACUUCUUCCUCACUAGAUUCUGAGCUACUGUGCUCUUUUUCAACGACUUUUUCUUUCAUUUUUCUAUUACUUGCGUAUUUAAUCCUUACUAUUUUUGCAAAGACAGAAGGACUAAAGAGAAAUGAAAUGAAUGUUUUGAGAAUAGAGAAAGCAAAUAGCUAAAAACAGAGGGUAAAAUGAAGUUUGAAAUUUUUAAGUUUUUAAAGAGGAAAAAGCAAAGAGGGAAACAUUUGCAAUCCAGAAAGGAAAGUGAGUUUAUCUAUUAAGCUCAUCUCGAAUUCACUCUACAUUAAACUUAGAACAAUUCUGGUACAAAGAGUCAUUAGUAGCACCGAAAAUUAUAUCAUUAAUAUAAAUCUGAACAACUACAAUAUCAUUCUUUUGAUUUUUAGUGAAUAAAGUAGUAUUUAUUUUUCCUCUUAUAAAACCAUUUUUCAAUAAAAACUUACUCAAACGUUCAUACUAAGUUCUUGGAACUUGUUUCAAACUAUAAAAUGCUUUUGAGAGUUUGAAAACAUGAUUUGAAAAUAUUGGAUCUUCAAAACCAAAUGGUUAUACUACAAAAACUUCUUCAUCAAUAUAUCCAUUUAAAAAUGCAUUCUUAAUAUUCAUUUGAAACAACAUAAAAAUUUUAAAAUAUGCAAAAACACAAAAUAUCCUAAUAGCCUCAAUUCUAGCAAUGGAAGGAAAGGUUUCAUCAAAAUUUAUUCCUUCCUCUUGGUUGUAUCCUUGAGCUACUAAUCUAAUCUUAUUUUUAAUUACAUUUCCAUUUUUAUCCGUCUUGUUUCUAAAAACUCAUUUUGUUAUAAUAAUAGAUUGGUUUUUGGCUUGGGAAUAAGUUGUCAAACUUUAUUCAUCUCAAAUUAAUUUAAUUCUUCUUGUAUUGUAAGAAUCCAACUUUCAUCAUUUUGAGUCUCGUCAUAAGAUUUAGGUUCUAAUUUUAAAAUAAAAGCAACAUUACUGAAAUAUAUAUCUUCUCAAUUGUCCUAUUGUCAUCAUUUUUUUAUUUGAGCUAUCAACGAUAUUCUCUUUUGGAUAGUAUUUGUGAUAUCUCUAAUCUUAUGGAAGAUUUUCAUGAACUUGAUCAUUAAUUUAUAAUUCUUCCACAUUUGAUUGUUGUUCCUCACUUCUUUGAUCUCCAUCAUUUGAAGUUUCUCCAUGAUGAUCAACUUGAGUUUCCACAUUUUGCUCAUUUAUAAUUUUCUCACUUGUUUUUUCUUUGCUAAAAAUCUAAUCAAAAUCAGCUUCACAAGUGUCUUUCUUUUUUAAAGCUAGAUUAGACUCAUCAAACAUCAUAUUAAUGAAUUCUUCAGCUACUAAGUUCUUUUUAUUAAAAAUUCUAUAAAUUUUGCUUGUAGAAGAAUAUUCAAGAAAAAUACUUUCAAAAAUCUUACCAUCAAACUUACCAAGAUACUCAUUAUUCAAAAUAUAACAUUUUCAUCCAAAGACAUAAAAAUAUGAUAUGUUUGGUUUCUUGCCUUUCUAUAACUCAUAGGGUGUUUUCUUCAAGAAAGCUCUUAUGGUUACUCUAUUGACAAUAUAACAAGAUGUAUUUAUAGUUUCAGUCUAAAAAUAUUUUGAAAGAUGAUUUUCAUUUAACGUAGCUCUAGCAAUUUUUUGCAAUAUUCUACUUUCUCUCUCAAUAACUCCAUUUUGUUUUAGAGUUAUUGAAACUGAAAAAUAAUGAAAUAUGUCAUGAUUUGAACAAAAACUAUUAAACAUAUGAUUUUCAAAUUUUUUUCCAUGAUCACUUCUCAAAGAUGCAAUAUAAUAACCUUUUUCAUUUUGAACACAUUUGCAAAAAGUUUUAAAAACAUUAAGCGUUUCAUCUUUAUGUGCCAAGAAGAAGACCUAAAAAAAUCUUGAAUAAUCAUUAACAAUUACAAAAACAUAUGAUUUUCCACCAAGACUUGUAGGAAUUAUUGGAUCAAAUAAAUCAAGAUGCAACAAUUCUAAAGGUCUUGACGUUAAAACUUCAUUCUUUGGUUUAAACGAAACUCUUGUUUAUUUCCCAUUAAACAAGCUUUACAUGGACGAUCUUUUUUAAAAAUCGAUUUUGGUAAGUUUCUAACUAGAUUUUUCUUUGAAAGUUUUGAAAUCAGAUGCAUGCUUGCAUGAUCUAAUUUUCUAUGCCACAACCAACUAUUAUCAUCAAACUAGCUAAGCAUUUUUUUUACUAUUUUUAAAACACUCAAGAUUAAGGGCUAAGAGCAAAAAGUGUUCGGACGAGACCCAAGGCUAAGAGGCUCAAAAGACGAUAAAGAGCAAAAGUGCUCGGACGAAUACCCAAGGCUAAGAGCCUGAAAAACAAUAAGAAGCAAAAGUGCUCGGACAAAAAUGCAGGGCUAAGAGCUUGAAAGGCGUCUAAGAGUCAAAGUGCUUGAACAAAGACCCAGGGCUAAGAGCUUGAAAGGUGACAAAGAUUAAAAGUAUUUGGAUGAGACCCAAGGUUAAGAGGCCUAGAAGACGACAAAUAGCAAAAGUGUUUAGACGAAUACCUAGGGCUAAGAGCCCAAAAAAUGACAAGGAGUAUAAAUGCUCAAACAAAGACUCAGAGCUAAGAGCCCGAAAAACAACAAAAAGCAAAAAUGUGUAGAUGAAAACCUAGGGUUAAGAGUCCAAAAGAUGACAAAGAACAAAAGUGCUCGGACAAAUACCCAGGGCUAAGAGCUUGAAAAUGACAAGAAUAAAAAGUGUUCAAAUAACUAAUAGCCCGGAAGGCAUCUAAGAGCCAAAGUACUUAGACAAAGACUCAGGGCUAAGAACCCGGAAGACAACAAAGAGUAAAAGUAUUCGGACGAGACCCAGAGUUAAGAGGCUCAAAAGACGACAAAAAGUAAAAGUGCUUGGAUGAAUACAUAGGACUAAGAGCCCAGAAAACGAUAAGGAGCAAAAGUGCUCAAACAAAGACCUAAGACUAAGAGCCCGGAAGGCGUCUAAGAGCCAAAGUGCUCGGACAAAGACCUAGGGCUAAGAGACCAAAAAACGAUAAACAUUUCUUAGGGUCAGGAAGAAUUACUAUAGCAAGAUACCCCCACACUUUUAAAUAUUUUAAAUUAAGUGUAUAACCUUUUCAAAGGUCAUAGAGUCUUUUAUUAGUUUUAUUAUAGAGUAUCCUAUGCUAUAGAUGACAAGCAGAUAAUAAAACUUCCCCCCUCAAAGGUUAUUAGGUGUAGAGGAACUUAUUAAUAAAGCAUUCAUCAUUUCUUUUAAUGUUCUAUUUUUUCUUUCUGCUACUCCAUUAGAUUCAUGUGAAUAAGGUGCAGUAAAUUCAUGAAUUAUUCCUUCUUUUUCACAAAAGUCAUUAAAUAAGAAAUAUUCUCCACCUCUAUCUGAUCUAAUUCUUUUUAUUUUCCUAUUUAAUUGAUUUUCUAUUUCAGCUUUAUAUAUUUGAAACAUAUCAAAUGUUUCAUUUUUGUUUCUAAGCAAUAUGCUUUCGUAUAUCUAGAAUAAUUAUCAUAAAAGUUACAUAAUAUUUUUUACCACCUCUAGUCAUAGUUUAUUUUAAAUUCUCCAAGUCUGUGUAUAUUAAGCUAAGCAAUUCAAAUUCUCUAUGUGUAGUUGGACAUGAUUUUUUGGUUGACUUAGAUUCUAUACAAAUCUCACAUUUAUUUAAACAUGUAUUGCAAUACCAUAUAUUAUACCAAUAUAUUGCAUUUUUUUAAUAUAAGAAGCACUAACAUGUCUUAAUCUAGCAUGUCAUAAAUUAAAAAAAUUAAGCAAAUAAGCAGAAUAAGGUGCAUUUUUCUUCAUUAUUAUAGAAAUUUUGAGAACAAAAUUACAAUAACUUUUUUCAACAAAGAUACCAUUUUUAGUUGGUACAAUUUUGUCUGACUCAAAAGACACCUUAAUCUCAGUUUUUCCUAAUAGAGCUAUAGAAAUUAAAUUAGCUUUCAUGUUAGGUAUAUGAAGUACUUUAUUAAGUACCAAAGUCUUGCUAUAUGUGAGUUUGAAAAGAACUUUCCCUUUACCAAGGACACUUACAGUCCUAGAAUCACCCAAAUAUACAUGUUCUUCUCAUUCCCCUACGGUAGUGUAGGAGGUAAACACAUUUCUGUUUGUACAGAUAUACCUAGUAGCACCAGAGUCUACCACUCAUUCUUGCACAUUAGCUAGAAGAAAAGUAUGAGAAAUGACCGCAACAAUAAUGUCAUCUCAUUCAACUAAAUUCACUUUUGAUUUAAAAGGACUAUUAUUUAUCACUCUUUUCCUGCAAUGAGAACACUUGCAGUCCUAGAAUCACCCAAAUACACAUGUUCUUCUCCUUCCCUCACGGUAGUGUAGGAGGUAAACGCAUUUCUGUUUGUACAGAUAUAUCUAGUAGCACCAGAGUCUACCGCUGUAAUACCCGGCUAGACUCCGGUAUCGGAAUUCCUACCGUCCGGUGGAAUCUCGGAUGUCGAAAGCCUCUAGUAGGGUAGAAACAUGUUUUCAUAAAAUGUUUUAAGGUAUUUCAUGGUUUUAAGUAUGAAAUUAAAUGAGUUUUUGCAUGAAAAGUCUUUGGAGGAAAACCCAGGUUCGGCCGCCGAAAGUCAAGUUCGGCCGCCGAACAUGCUUGCGUUUUGGAGGCACGUUAGGCCCCCGAAAGCAUGAGUGAGGGCAGUCCAGGUUUGGCCGCCGAAACCCAGGUUCGGCGCCGAACAUGGCAUGCAUGCGGAGGCACUUUCGGCCCCCGAACGUGGCCUGGCCAGCCACUAUAAAAGGGUCCCUUAGGUCCGCACGGGCGAGCUUUUUCUUCCCUGUUGUCGGCCAAGGUGAGUCUCCGCCACCCCUCCCUCGAUCUUGAGUGUUUUCCUUAGAUCUUCCAUGAUUUUCACGGGUUUUAACUUCUGUUUUGAAGAUCUGUGAGUAAAGAGCAAGUUUUGGGUACUUGGAGGUUCAAAGAGCUCAAACUCUCCAUCUCCAAGCUAGGAUCGCCUUUCCUCUCGUUUCUUCAAGAGGUAAGCUCGGAUCCACCCUUGUUAUGUGUUUUAAACAAGCAUUAAGUUGUUUUAUGGGUAGAGAUGCAUGUUUAGGCUUGUUGAUGAGUUUAUAGGUUUUGAUGUUUUGAUGAACAAUGUAUGUUGAUUUUUGUGUGUUUGAAGUGUUGUAGUUGGGGUAUAUGCUAGUUUGAGACCCCUAGGUGUAAUGUAUGAUAUGUAUGCAUGUUUUAGAACAAGUUUAUGCAUGAUUGGUGAGUUUGGAGGCAAAAAUGCAUAAGGGAGCCAAGUUUCUGCCCUUUGGCAGAAACCAGGUUCGGCAGCCGAAGGAACUUUCGGCCGCCGAACAUGGCUGGGGAGGCAGGCCUUUCGGCUGCCGAAGUUGCCCCCGAAAGGAGACUUUCGUCUCUGUCUCGGACUUUCGGCCGCCGAAGGUGCCGCCGAACAUGCAUGAGUUUCGCCUCUGUCUGGGAGUUUCGGCCGCCGAAGGUGCCGCCGAACCUGCCUGACUUUCGGCUCUGGAGGGACUUUCGGCCGCCGAACCUGCCGCCGAAAGUGCCCUGUCCAGCCAUUUCUUGCAUGUUUUUAUGUAGUUGUUUUAUGAUGUUUUAGGGGGUUUUUGGGGAGUAUACUAGAGUUAUGUUUAUGUAUGUUUGGUCCCUCAUUGGAGUCCACCUGUGUAGGUUCGGACCCGAGGAACCGAGGACCCCAGCAGUGAGCCAGCUGCUACAGAGUUUGUCAGAGCUAGCCAGAGGUGAGUGGAAUAAACCUUAAGUUUUAAAAUGAAUGAACUAUGAAUUUUGAGCAUGAUCCAUGCAUCAUGAAUGCCAUGAGAUAUAGUAGGUUGUUUGCAUUAGUAUUCACGAAUAUGUUGCAUUGCAUUUAUGAUGUUGAUGUGGAUUGGUCAUUGGAUGAUCCUUUAGUCCUCAUAUGAUAUGAUGAUGUUAUGGCAUGAUGUGGUAUGGAAGUCCAGGUUGUACCCAUUCUACGUCCCUGGCACAGUUGGACUGUAUGAUAUGUUAUGUUAUGUUAAGAGAAAGACCGGUUGUACACAUUCUACGUCCCGGCACAGUUGGACUAUGUAGAGGACUAUUGGUGACAAUACCAUCCGAGAUGUGAUUUGUUGUGAUGUGUUGCAUUACAUAAUGGCAUGAAAUUUUAAUAUAUGUUUUCACUAUUCUGCUCACUGGGCUUUGUAGCUCACCCCUCUCCCCUAACCCCAGAUGUGCAGGUACAGGGUAGACCAUGAGGUUAGCCAGAGUUUUGAAGUAUGUUAUGUAAUAGUUAGAUUGUGGACAUGACAAUUGUACUAUGAUGUAAUGUAAGAGAUUACAGUAUGUUAUGUAAAGAGGUAUAUUGAGGUUAUAGAUGUGCUUGACCCUAUGAGUUUUGUAAUCCCUUGUUAAUGCAUGAUCUUAGUUAUAUUGAUGAUGCAGAUGAAAGCCAACUCAUCUCAUGUUGUAUCGCCCGUUGGGGCAUUGAUGAGAUCCCACAGAGGGAUCAUGAUUAUGAUCAUGACUAUGUACAUGUAUGUUCAGGUUGAGUUGGAUGUUUAAAGGAAAAGUUUCAAUUUUUAUGCAUGUUGUUGAUCAUGUAUGGGAUUAUACAGGUUUACAAGUUAUAUGUCAGCCUUGCUACGGGUCCCGGCGGCCUUAAGCCGAUCUGGAUCCUAGCGCCGGUAGGGGUCCGAUUUUCGGGUCGUUACAACCGCCCAUUCUUGCACAUUAGUUAGAAGAAAAGUUUGAGAAAUGACCUUAACAAUAAUGUCGUCUCAUUCAACUAAAUUCACUUUUGAUUUAGAGGGAUUAUCAUUUAUCACUAUUUUCCUGCACUGAGGUGCAUGAUGACCCGGCUUACCACAUACAAAACAAUGUUCUUUCUUUUUAAAGAUGAGAUUAUUAAACUUAGGUUUGUUAUUAGGUUUCUUAUUUUCGUACCUAUUAUUUGAUUUCUGCACUUUUUCUUGUACAAGAUUUGCCUUUGUAGCUAGCUCUUUACUUUUUGCAGCUUUUAGUUCCCUCCUGUUUGUAUCUUCAAUGAUGAUGUGGGUGAUGAGAUCUGACAGUGUCAACUGCUUGUGCUUGUGUUUCAAUUGUUGCUUGUAGUCACUCCAAGAAUUUGAUAAUUUUUCUAUCAGCAGUCCAGCCACAAAUUCAUCUUAUAGAAUGAUGUCAAAUUAUAUACCGCUUAUUGAUUUGUGCAAAUCGCUGGUCAAAUCCACCAUCUGAGAAUGGUUCAGUCAAUUUGCGGGCUUGGGCCAUUCCUUGCUUCUGUGCAGUAUGAUCAUCUGAUAGGUUUGCUUAAAUCACUAGUCAAGUCCAUCAUCUAAGAAUGGUUAAGUCAAGUAGCGGGCUUGGGCCAUUCUUGGAUUCUGUGUAAUAUGAUCAUCCGAUAAGUUUGCCCAAAUUGCUGGUCAAGUCAAUUUCUGUAAUACCCGGCUAGACUCCGGUAUCGGAAUUCCUACCGUCCGGUGGAAACUCGGAUGUCGGAGAUCUCUAGAAGGGUAGAAUCAUGUUUUCAUGUUUUAAUAGUUUUAAGUAUGAAAUUAAAUGAGUUUUUGCAUGAAAAGUCUUUGGAGGAAAACCCAGGUUCGGCCGCCGAAAGUCAAGUUCGGCCGCCGAACGUGCAUGCGUUUUGGAGGCACGUUAGGCCCCCGAAAGCAUGAGUGAGGGCAGUCCAGGUUCGGCCGCCGAAAGUCAAGUUCGGCCGCCGAACAUUUCAUGGAUGCGGAGGCACAUUCGGCCCCUGAACGUAGCCUGAGCAGCCGCCUAUAAAAGGGGCACUUAGCCGAAAUGGGCGAGCUUUCUCCCAUUUUCGGCCACAGCAAGCUUCCGACCUUCCUUUUGCAAAUCUAGUGUUUUUCCUCCAAAUCCCCACCAUUUUUCUUGAGUUUUAAGCUUGCAUUGAAGGUUUUGAACUGUUGAAACAAGUUUUGGAGCUUUGGGAACUCAGGAGCUCAUUUUCGUAGAUCUCCAAGUUUAGGUCGUCUCCCUCUCGAUCUUCAAGAGGUAAGAGCCGAUCUUAAGCUCCUCAUGUGUUUUAAGUAAGUUUUAAGUGAUUUUAUGGGGUAGAAUGACAUGUAUAGGGUUGUAUGAGUUUUUAAGCAAAUGUUAGGUUUUAUGUGAUUCUUGAACAAUGUGGCAUGUUUGAGUAUGCUUGAAGUGUUGUAGUUGGGGCAUUUGUUUGUUUGAGGCCCCUAGGAACUUGUAUGCAUGAUUUAACUGAGGUAUAUGCAUGAUUGGUGAGUUUGGAGGCGAAAANNNNNNNNNNNNNNNNNNNNNNNNNNNNNNNNNNNNNNNNNNNNNNNNNNNNNNNNNNNNNNNNNNNNNNNNNNNNNNNNNNNNNNNNNNNNNNNNNNNNNNNNNNNNNNNNNNNNNNNNNNNNNNNNNNNNNNNNNNNNNNNNNNNNNNNNNNNNNNNNNNNNNNNNNNNNNNNNNNNNNNNNNNNNNNNNNNNNNNNNNNNNNNNNNNNNNNNNNNNNNNNNNNNNNNNNNNNNNNNNNNNNNNNNNNNNNNNNNNNNNNNNNNNNNNNNNNNNNNNNNNNNNNNNNNNNNNNNNNNNNNNNNNNNNNNNNNNNNNNNNNNNNNNNNNNNNNNNNNNNNNNNNNNNNNNNNNNNNNNNNNNNNNNNNNNNNNNNNNNNNNNNNNNNNNNNNNNNNNNNNNNNNNNNNNNNNNNNNNNNNNNNNNNNNNNNNNNNNNNNNNNNNNNNNNNNNNNNNNNNNNNNNNNNNNNNNNNNNNNNNNNNNNNNNNNNNNNNNNNNNNNNNNNNNNNNNNNNNNNNNNNNNNNNNNNNNNNNNNNNNNNNNNNNNNNNNNNNNNNNNNNNNNNNNNNNNNNNNNNNNNNNNNNNNNNNNNNNNNNNNNNNNNNNNNNNNNNNNNNNNNNNNNNNNNNNNNNNNNNNNNNNNNNNNNNNNNNNNNNNNNNNNNNNNNNNNNNNNNNNNNNNNNNNNNNNNNNNNNNNNNNNNNNNNNNNNNNNNNNNNNNNNNNNNNNNNNNNNNNNNNNNNNNNNNNNNNNNNNNNNNNNNNNNNNNNNNNNNNNNNNNNNNNNNNNNNNNNNNNNNNNNNNNNNNNNNNNNNNNNNNNNNNNNNNNNNNNNNNNNNNNNNNNNNNNNNNNNNNNNNNNNNNNNNNNNNNNNNNNNNNNNNNNNNNNNNNNNNNNNNNNNNNNNNNNNNNNNNNNNNNNNNNNNNNNNNNNNNNNNNNNNNNNNNNNNNNNNNNNNNNNNNNNNNNNNNNNNNNNNNNNNNNNNNNNNNNNNNNNNNNNNNNNNNNNNNNNNNNNNNNNNNNNNNNNNNNNNNNNNNNNNNNNNNNNNNNNNNNNNNNNNNNNNNNNNNNNNNNNNNNNUGGACAUGACAAUUGUAUUAUGAUGUAAUGUAAAAGUGUUUUAAGUUAUGUUAUGUAAUUUGAAUAUUGAGGAUAGAGUUGUGCUUGACCAAUACAGAUUGUUAAUCCCACUUGUAUGUACAUGGUCUUUUUGAUAUGAGAUAUGAGGUUAUGUUUCAGCCAAGCUUAUGUAUGAUGAGAUACCCCAUUGGAGCAUUUUGAUGAGGGCUCCAGUGGAGGUUUAUGUUAUGUUUAUGUUUAUGUACAGGUUGAGCUUGGUUGUUAUAUGAGAAUGAUUACAGGUUAUGUCAGGCUUGCUACGGUUCCCGGCGGCCUUAUGCCGAUCUGGAUCCUAGCGCCGGUAGCGGUCCAAUUUCCGGGUCGUUACAAUUUCAGCGCUUUUAAACCACUUUUUAUUAAAUCUUAUUCUCUUUUUGCUUUUCUGCAAAAUAUAACAAAAAAUACAAAAUUAGUCAGAAAAAUACUCAAUUUAAUGAAAAGCAUAGUAUGAAAAAUGAGUUGAAAUUAUGUUCGAUAACCUAAUUUAUUAAGAACAUUUAAGAUGAGGUGAUUAACGAAACUACCUGUAUCCACCAAGACUCGCCUCACCUCAUACCUGUUUAGAUGGAUAUUGAUGACUAGCGGGUCAUUUUGAAAAAAUUCCAUCACCUUGUCUGCAGGUCCGAACCUUACUUCCUGUUUGGCCCAUGGUUCCUACUCAACUGACAUGAUGUCUUCUGCGACACAUUUAUUUUUUCCUUGCCAUCGUUGGGUCCUCCUGCAAUUACUUGUAUAACCCCUACAACUAUCAGGGGUAGUUUCAGGAGUUUUUACCUCAAGUUUGGGCCUUCUCUUUUCUCUAUUCUUUCUAGCAAACUUUCAAAGUGUGUUAUCCCUUAUUAAUCUCUCGAUCUUGUCUUUCAACUUCUGGCACUCCUCCGUUGUAUGCCCAUAGUCUUCGUGAAAGCAACAGUACUUGGUCCUGUCUCGCCUUUCGGUACUCUCAGGGUUGAGCUUGGGAGGCCACCUGACUUCCUUAUUAUUUUUCUGAUCCACAUUAGAAUACGUGUUCGUAAUUCAUUCAAUAGAGUAUAAUUCUUAUACUUACUUUAGUCAUCCCUUCUUCGAGGGACUGGAUAACUUCUGUGGUCUCUUUCAUAUCCUCGCCUCUUUAGAUUUUGAUUUUGCUUUUGACUCGUCCUUUUGUCCUCUCUCAAUGCUUGGACUUCGUCAUCUAGCCUGAUGUACUUUUCGGCUUUGUCCAUUAGCUGUUGGUAUGUGGCGGCUGGGUUCUUAAUUAGGAAAUCAUGAACUUGACGUUGCGUGUUCCUUUCAUCAAUGCUUCACAUGCUAUCUCAUGAUUUAAUUCCUCCAUAUAUAUUGCUUCUGCAUUAAACCGUGAGAUAAAGCUCAUCAAAGACUCGCCCUCUCCUUGGCGGAUCUUUCACAAGUCAGAUGAGAGUUUUUUAGGAGGUAUACAAGUAAUAAACCUGGAUUUAAAUAACAUAGCGAAUUGUGUAAAGUUUUGAAUUAAAUCUGGGCUCAGAUGUUGGUACCAUUUCUGAGCCAAACUUGUGAGUGUUAAUGAAAACACUCGGCACAACACGAAAUCGUUGACAUCGUGAAGCUGUAUAGUCAUUCUAAAGAUCGUCAGGUGACUUCUAGGAUUUAAUGUUCCGUCAUAUUUGCUCAAGCCUAGUAGCUUAAACUUAGUUGGGAAAGUUUUUGCUAAGAUCUCUUCUGAUAGGGGCGAGGCAUCGUCCAGGCCAUAGUUCUCCUCCUGCUCCUUCUGGUACCUUUGAAUAGCCCGUACCGGCUUUCAGUCGACGUCCUUCGGAGCAUCGUCUAGUGACUUUUCUUCUUCGAACUUAGCCUUCCCCUUGGACCGCGUCUGGAUCGCCUCUGUCCGAGUCCUUAGGAUAUCAACAGAGGCUUCCUCCAUUCCCUUGGGAGCCAUGAAUGAUGCCUCCUCCCAAGCUUUGUAUUGCUCAAGAAUAGCCUGCAACCUAUAUAUUGGAGCAUUUGUUCAUUGUUCAGAUUAUUGAGAUAUGCUUCGUUGACCAUAGAAAGUGUGUUUUGUCCACUGCUAGGAGCGAAAGAAAUAAUAGCACCCUCAUUGGUAGCAACCUUAGCAGCAGCUCGUGAAUUGUUGGCCAUUUCAAGCGAAAGAAAACAAAGAUUUCUUUUUAAGAGAAAGGGGAUAAGAGACUGGUUUUAAUCCAAAUGAACAUAGAGAAUUUAAUGGAUUAUCCUGACAAUGAAACCAAAUGAUGUGACCGAAAUAAAGUUGUGUUGCAAUUGGUCAACCUGAAAGAAAGAGAAUGUGAAGUGGUUGGUGCCUAUGGUGGCCACUCUGACGUUCAAGUCAGUAAAAUGAAUAAAAGGGCAAAUGUAAGGAAUGGCUUAGAACUCAAGAGUAGUUGUGUAAGAAUGCGUACCUUUGUAUUUGCAAUCAUUAGUUUUUAUAUUGUAAGAAGAUAGAGUUAAUUAUAGUAUUUUCUGAAAAUCUGGUUGGUGCUGGCUAAUUGAUAAGGGAUCCCACCAGCUAAUUGAUCAGGGAUCCCGUGAUUACAGGCAUAAUAGGGAUCUGCUGGAUUGUGCCUGCUAAAGAUAACUUUAUGUGAAGACUAGACCUCUUCAAAGGAGGGCGAGUUUUAAUGAAGAACUGUGUGCUGCAGUGUCUAGGUCUUCCUUUCCACGGUUGAGACCGCAUAUCGGCAUAUGAGAACUCUUGCCACAUGGCUCUGCUUUAUGAUGACAGUCAUGACUUAUUUUGAGUGAUUAUCAUGUUACAUCAAACCUAAAUGCUUUAAUUUUUAUUCCUAUCCUUUAGAUAAACGUUUCUCUUUAUAUUCAAUUAAAUAUGAGAUUAUAAAAAAGCAACAGAUCCAUUAAAAGAACUCUAAAUUAAUUAUCCUAACUAUUAUAAAAAAAAAAAAGUCAAUUUCAUCAAAGUUAAAGAAGCAAAAUAAUAAGGGGUAAAAAUAAAAUAAAAUCAUAACUAAACUUGCUAUAAAUCUUCGUCCUAGGAAAAGAUUAAGGUUGACACUAUGAUUUUAACAUUAGAUUUGAGUUUUUAUAUCAUUCUAAGUAGAUUUUUAAAAUUAAAAAAAAAAAAAGAAGGAAAAGGAUGAAUUGAUUUUUUUUUUUUUUUAAUCUAUAGAUCGAAUUUUGGUCACCAUGAUUCCCAUAUAUAUCUUGUCAACCUAUUUAGUGAGUGGUAUGCAAAGAAGAAGUGAUUAGAUUGGGAUGGGUGGAAAGAUGAUUAAUUAAGAAGAAAUAUUUAAGACUUUAAAAAGAAAGAAUUAAUUGUAUAUAUAUAAAAAGAAAAAUAAAUAGUUGGGGAUUUCAGGAGAAGAGAGAAAUUUUAGGAGAAAAAUGACUUUUACUUAAUCAUUAAACUGUACACUGAUCAUGAAUUGCAUGCAAGUCACUAGCGUCCCCAACUUAGAGUUUCUCCUUGCAAUUGGUGCAAGUCAUCCAUAAAGCAUUCACCACUACAAUUUGAAUCUAAGGAAUUUUUUUUGCCAUCCAUAAUUCUUCUAAAUGUAUCCCCUAAAGUUGGUGAGAGUUGUUUUUGUUGGAUCAAAUGGAGCCCCUACGUAUGUAUCUUGUCUUCACUUAAAUGAGACACUCGCGAUCCUAUCAAUCUUAAUUAUAAAGAAAUAGAAAGUUUAGCCUUUAGCAACUUUUUGAAGCAUAUUUUAAUAUAUCUUCAGUUGAAUAAAUAUAUUUUUAUAAAAUAACAGUUCUAUCUUAAAUAUUAAGAGAUGUAGUUUUCAAUUUGAAAGUCAAUAUUCAACCAUAAAAACCAUUCUCUUUGCACGUCAAUAUAUAGCAUCUCUGUAAUAUCAACUAGUUUUUUAUAAUGAAGUGCCUCAUCAUUUGUGGUAGAAAAUGUUCUCUCACUACUAAUACUUUUUCAUAGCUUGAAUUGAGGGUAUCUGUCAUGCCAAAACCUAGUCCCAAAAAAAAAAAAAAACUAUAGAGCAAGAAACUUGUUUCCACUUUGUUUUCACAAGCUUUGCCUUCAUGACAACUUUUGCUACUCUUUUCAAGAUCAUAAUCAUUUGAAAUAAGCUAUUUGUUAUGGUUUCUGUGCUUCUCUUGUUACCAACUUAAUCGAACUCCUUCGCUUUACUUGGCAUUUCGAGCAACCCGAGUGGCAAAAACAUCCAAAACCAAAGAUAAUGCCGACACAAGCACCUGAAACUAUUUUGCCACCAGAUCGACUACAUUAACAUCCAUAGAUGAGCAUCUCCUCAACUACAAUUUUAUAGCAAAUACAGAACCUUGUGCAAUGUCAAAUAAAGCUCUUACAAGCUUAGAACAAUAGAAUCAUGUAGGCUUGAACCAAUAACAUGUUGAAUUUCCUCAAGGAAUAGGAGAAGGUUGCUGACUACGUGAAUCAGUUUAUGCUUAUUUCGUUCAUUGGUAGAGAAAUAUUUGGACUUGGACUCGCAAAUUUAGAGAGCUAGACUGGUUGGCAAGGCAAGUAAUAUCAUUGCUUCUUAGGGGUGUAAACGUACUGAGCUGAACCUAGUUUAAAGAACUCAAUCUUGAUUCAUUAAGAUUCUUUUGAGUUCAAACUAAACUCUAAUUUUAUUAAUUACGAAUUCGAGCCGAGUAUUAAUAAGUUCAAACAUGACUCUUUUAGCAAAUAAAAUUAGAUGAAUCGAGUUUUUAUUAAAUUUAGUUUCAAAUAGUUAUGAAUAAUUUAAUUUAUUUACAUGUAUAAUGAGUUUUAAUUUAAAAUUUAUAAGUUUAAACUAAAUAAUUUUAGUUAAAUAAGUAUAUGUAUAUAAAUUAACUAGCAAACUUGUAAAGAACGAACUCUUAAAUUUUAAUGAUCCGAAUAUCAACAAGUUUUAAGAAUAUAAUUAAACUAUAUAGAGUUAAAUUUUAAAAAAUUUAAAUUUGUCUCAUGAAAAUAUAUGCAGGGUUUAGCUUAGUUCUGUCAUGAUAUUAAUUUCAAUUUGUUUAACAAGAUUGUUCACGAGGCUGUUCACGAGUCUACUCAUGAAUAUAAAGACGAGGCAAACUCACCAGUCUUAACAAGCCAACUAUUAUGUUGCUUAAUAUACGAGCUUAAAAAUUAAGCUCAACUUUGACUUAUUUAUAAAUCGAAUUGAGCCUAAUCAAGAUUUAUCAAAUCGAAACUCAAAUAGCUCACCAACUGUAACGACCCGGAAACCGAUACCCCUCUGUAACGGCCCGAACCGCCACCGGCGAGAGGAUCCAGAUCGGCUUAAGGCCGCUGGGACCCGUAGCAAGCCAAACAUACCUCCUAUCACCUGGUCAAAUCCCAUACAUGAUCAAAACUUUAACAUAAAAACUGGAACAUCUGAUGUAAAUACCGAACUUGACCUGUAUGCAACAUAACUGGAAACCUAAAAGAACCCCAUACUAGAGCUCUCAACAAAACUCUAGCUGGGUCAACAUAACAUACAUCAAGCCGGAGUCACAUCAAAAGAACUAGAACCUAACCUGUGCAUGCAUCAAACCACAAACAUAAGACCUCCUCUAGGGUCCUCAUCCAUUACCAUAGCGUGGUACACAACACAUGCCACAAGAUUAGUUCAAACUCAACUCCACAUUAAACCCUAUCAUGCAUAUCUACCCAAACACAUACAUCAAAUCUCCUUAAAACUUACUUAAAACUCAUUAAAACAUAAAGAAAAGCAGAGAUCUACACUAACCUCUUGGAGAUCGAGGGUUGGUGUGACCCGAACCUUGGAGAUGUGGAGGAAACUAGCUUCAGGGUCUCCAAGCUCCAAAUCCUAGAUCCAAGCUUAAAACUCUUCAAAACCAAGGAUAAAACUCAUAACACUUUGGAAAGUCAAAGGAAAACUUGAAAUCGACCAAGGGAGGACAUGAACUCACCUUAGCCCGAGAAUGGGGAAAAAAAACUCGCCCAUUUUCGGUCUGAGGCCUUAUAUAGGCGACCGGCUUCGGCGGCCAAACCGGCACCCUAAAGUCCCCCAUGUUCGGCGGCCGAACCUGGUUUCUGCCCAACUCAACUUUCGGAAGCCAAAAGUCCAUCCGAAACCAUCUCAUGUUCGGCGGCCGAACAUCACCUUCGGCGGCCGAACAUCACCUUCGGCGGCCGAACCUGGGUUCUUCCUCCUUGGCCUUUUCUCUUCAAAACUCAAUUUUCUUUCAAUUAAAACCCUUAAAAUCAUUUGAAAAUAUUUUUAGAAAACACAUUAUACCCUUCUAGAAAGAUCCAACACCCUAGAUUCCGCCGGAAGGCAGGAAUCCCGAUGCCGGAUUCUAGCCGGUAUUACAUUCUUCCCCCCUUCAAGAACAUUCGUCCCCGAAUGUUCCACAAACAUACAUACAUAAAAACAUGGCAUCAAUCAUACAUGAACAAGUAAGCAAACCAGCAAGCAAAACCUAAAAAUCUCUCUCCUGAAAGAGAGACACAGGCACUACUGGAGUAAAACUCCCGGGUCUCCAAAAGAAACACCUUAGCAGUACCCAACCUACUCCUGAACUCCACUGGCUUCCGCUGUGCUACUCUGAUCCUUACUCUUCUCUUCUCUUCUCAUCUUUACUAACAGGCUUCUUCUCACUGCUAACCCAACACUAACUCUAACUCUCAUAGGUAGUACCCGGAUUUCAGAUCUAUCUUGGAAAACAAACAGCUCCUACUAGCUGUCCCAAUAAAUCAUCCAUCCUGCAUGGGAAUACCUGCCCUUGGUAGUGACCUUGGUCAACUACUUACAGUCGUUACCAGUCUCAAGGGUCUACCCUUCGUUUCCCACAACAACACUGGAACACUCCAGGGUAAGGUACUAGGUCGGAUAAAACCCUUAUCUACCAAGCCUCACCUCUAUUUUGACAACUCUCAACUACAGGUGCCAUUCUAUAGGGAAGGACAGAAAUGGUUCUGCGUCCAGACACCACUCCUAUACCCAACUCCAACUCCCUGACAGAUGGUAAACCUGACAACUCGCCUGGGAAGACAUCUAAGAACUCUCUAACCAAAGACACUGAGGUUGGUUCCCGGACCUGACUGCAAAACUCUCAAACAAGAGCUAGAACCCUCUGACAACCCCUCCUACGUACCCUACGAACCUGAUAGGCUGACAUCAAACCUCUAGGCAUCCCUACUAUGUUCUCUCAGAAGAAAACCUCUGACCCAUUCAGUCCUCUGAACUUGACUACCUCGUCUCUGCAGACCAAGAUAGCACCACGAGCAGAAAAACCCAAUCCAACCCUAAACUGACGUCCAGACAGUUAAGUCUAGGACCUCAAAGUCGGGUGGAAGGCAUUUACCCUCAACUGUCACAGAACUGGACCGGCAGACUGACUCUGCCACAGAUGGAUCACACGAGAGUCUACUGACCAAAGAGAACACUCUAGCUCAGAAGCUAUCAACUCAACCUCUUGACGGCUCCUAGAGCAACUAAAGAAAGAGAAAAACACUAGGGUUCACAAAAACAUACACAUCAGAACAUUCAAAAGUGAGCGUACCUGACACCACCAUGUUCGAUGUGUCUGCCUCUUGCUGAGCUUGGGUGAAGAUCCGAGCUGGAGCUGACAGACCUUCUCCACGGGAACCUUCAGAAAGAAAGGCUAACUCUCUUCCUCUACCUCGACCACUACCUGAGACAUGGCUAGAGCUACUGGCUGAGCCGCUCUACCUGAAGCUGCUUGCUGGGACGGAGCCAACCUGGGCGCAGUGGGACACUCACGUGCUAUGUGCCCCUCCUGUCCGCACCUGUAACAUACGUCAGUCCCAUAACGGCAGACUCCCUUGUGCGGUCUACCGCACUUCAAGCAUCUUGAACUGCCUGAGCCAGAGCUUGAGCCACCAAAACCCAGACUAGCCUUCAACCGAUUCCACAACUUGCUCUUCUUUGACCUUCUCAGGCCUCUGUUCCCCUUUUUAGUGGUGUUUCCCCACCUUUUAUCUCUUGAGGCAGCAGUACUUAGAGUGGAGGGAUCAAUCCCCCCUGAACUUGAGAUCCUGGAAUCCUGAGUCUGAGCAUCCUCCUGAGAAUCUCCCAUGCCUUCCUCUGGCACUCUGAUUCCCAAACUAACAUCCCUUCUCUGAACCUCCAACUCUACUUCCCUCAUACUAGCUGACAUCCUUCUUGGAGCCAUUCCUUCUCUGCUUACAUCAAAAGACCUUCCAGGGUCCCUUGAUGUUCCCCAUCUGCUGACUCCCCAUGACUGCGCUCUUGGCAGAGCAGGAGGAAAGGUGUCCAUACCUUCCCUCUCAGAUGGAACUCCAGUCGAUUCCACAGAUCGAUGGGCACCUCGCAUUCUGGCUCCUCUGAAGAACAACACACAAGCAUACAAACAUUAGCAUCAUACGGUUCAUAUGAAAACACAUGAACCUACACAUACAUGCAUAACAUGUCAUACAUAACAUUAAUGCACAUGCAUAAACUCAUGGCAUUUCACAUCAUCAAACAAGACAGGACUCAACAUCCUAUCCUAGUGGACAUGAUUCUUCCUAUUGUGCUUGCCCUUCUAUGACCUCUAAGCCAACCUCUUUCCGAUGUGCAACACACCGUACUCUCGAGGCCCAAAGCUCUGAUACCAUUCUGUAACGACCCGAAAAUCGAUACCCCUCUGUAACGGCCCGAACCGCCACCGGCGCUAGGAUCCAGAUCGGCUUAAGGCCGCCGGGACCCGUAGCAAGCCAAACAUACCUCCUAUCACCUGGUCAAAUCCCAUACAUGAUCAAAACUUUAACAUAAAAACUGGAACAUCUGAUGUAAAUACCGAACUUGACCUGUAUGCAACAUAACUGGAAACCUAAAAGAACCCCAUACUAGAGCUCUCAACAAAACUCUAGCUGGGUCAACAUAACAUACAUCAAGCCGGAGUCACAUCCAAAGAACUAGAACCUAACCUGUGCAUGCAUCAAACCACAAACAUAAGACCUCCCCUAGGGUCCUCAUCCAUUACCAUAGCGUGGUACACAACACAUGCCACAAGAUUAGUUCAAACUCAACUCCACAUUAAACCCUAUCAUGCAUAUCUACCCAAACACAUACAUCAAAUCUCCUUAAAACUUACUUAAAACUCAUUAAAACAUAAAGAAAAGCAGAGAUCUACACUAACCUCUUGGAGAUCGAAGGUUGGUGUGACCCGAACCUUGGAGAUGUGGAGGAAACUAGCUCCGGGGUCUCCAAGCUCCAAAUCCUAGAUCCAAGCUUAAAACUCUUCAAAACCAAGGAUAAAACUCAUAACACUUUGGAAAGUCAAAGGAAAACUUGAAAUCGACCAAGGGAGGACAUGAACUCACCUUAGCCCGAGAAUGGGGAAAAAAAACUCGCCCAUUUUCGGUCUGAGGCCUUAUAUAGGCGACCGGCUGAGCCACCUUCGGCGGCCAAACCAGCACCCUAAAGUCCCCCAUGUUCGGCUGCCGAACUUGAGGUUCGGCAGCCGAACCUGGUUUCUGCCCAACUCAACUUUCGGAAGCCAAAAGUCCAUCCAAAACCAUCUCAUGUUCGGCAGCCGAACAUCACCUUCGGCGGCCGAACCUGGGUUCUUCCUCCUUGGCCUUUUCUCUUCAAAACUCAAUUUUCUUUCAAUUAAAACCCUUAAAAUCAUUUGAAAAUAUUUUUAGAAAACACAUUCUACCCUUCUAGAAAGAUCCAACACCCUAGAUUCCGCCGGAAGGCAGGAAUUCCGAUACUGGAUUCUAGCCGGGUAUUACACCAACAAUUUAGUUAUUACACCUCUAAUGGUUCUAAUGGUUCUAUACUCUCUAGUAGAGUUAAUGCUGGUGUGAGUACAAGUGAAGCCAUAAACACCUUACAAUGUUUAAAAUUCUCUCCAAACCCUAAAUAAAACAAAACCUAACCUCUUCAAUAUUUUUCCCAGCAGCCCCUUCACCCAUAUUUCCCUCUUAUUAUUUUCUAAUCCACAAAAUUAACUUUAAAUAUUCAAAACUCUCAACUUCAAAUCUUUUAUUUAAAAUUUUCUUCUCUUAAAAGUUAUUCGAUCAUUAUUUAAUUUAUUUUUAUAUAUUAUUUUUUAUUUUUAAAAAGUAAUAUAUAUUUUUAUUUAUUUUACUUAAUUAUUAAUAUAUUUUGUAAUUGAAAUUCUAUGUUAAACUGGUUAAUUUAAAAAAAAAAUUUUAAAAUUUUAGAAAAAAAAGUUUUAUGUGUAAUGUUUAGAUUAUUCAAUGGUUUCAUAAAAUAUUUAAAUUUAGAAAAAAAAAACAAAUGUUAAAUCAAGAAAAUGUAAUUUUAAUAGGUAAUAGGUUGUAUUAUUUAAAUUUAAAAAACAUUUUAAUAUAUAUCAAAUAUUGUUUUUAUGAGUAAUAAAUUAGUCUAUUUAAAUUUAGAAAAAUUGAAUUUUAAAUACUGGUUAAAUAUGAUUAUUAUUUUUAGUUAUAUGUAAAAUUUGUCUUAAGUGAUACUAAAUUAUAGGCAUGUAAUUAUCUUAUAAAAAAUAUAAUUUUAUUAUGUAAAAUCAAUAUCAUCAGUGAAAAAAAUAUUAGGGAAUGUCAUUUGAACAUGAUCUAUUGAAGGAUUGAUCAUGAUUUAUGUUAAAAGAAAUAUAUUUAUAAAUAUAGAUAAUGAUACUAUUAUAAAUAAAUUUCUAAGUAAUGAAAAAAAUAGGGAAAAUUACUUUUUAGUCCCUGAGGUUUAAAGUAAUUAACACUUCUGUCUCUCUAUUUUGGCGAUCCAACACUUAAGUCCCUCAUUUUCUCUUCCGUCCAAAUUCGUAGUCCUUCCGUCCAUUUAAACCGUUUGGUCAAAGAGUCAAAAGUGAGAGGUGAUAAUUUUUUCCAGAAAUACCCUUCUCUUAAUGUGAAAUUCCUAUUUUUUUUCUCUUUCAUGUUUUUUCUAGUUACAGAUUUCAUAUGUUCUCUAAUUAAGAAGAAGAAGAAGAAGAGGAAGAAGAGACAUUUGGAUUUAGGUUUAGUGAGGGUUAAUUUUGUCAAUUCACGUGUCCCAAACGGUUAUUUUGGAUGGAAGGACUACGGAUUUGCACAGAAAAUAAAGUGAGGGACUUAAGUGUUGGGUCGCCAAAAUAGAGGGACAAAAAUGUUAAUUAUGUUAAAUCUCAGGGGCUAAAAAGUAAUUUUCCAAAAAAAAAAUAAAGGCUCUUGCAAUUUAAUUAAAAUAUAUAAAUUAAUUAUUAUAAUUCUAUUUUAUUUUUUUAUAUUAUAAUAAUAUAUAAAUUAAUAAUUAUAAUUCUAUUUAAUUUAAUAUUAUUUUUUAAAAAAAUUCAUAAUAUAUCUUGAUAUUUAAUAAUUGCAAAAUUAAUAAAAAAUGUUCUUUCCUUAUGGACAUAGGAGGACAUCCUAAUAUUAAUGGAGAUGCAGAAAAUGGACAGUGACGUGUCCGCUAUCUUUGCUUUCCUCACAUCGCAGCAAAACAGACGUCACGCUCUUCCUCCAUUUCUCUCUCGCGCAGAGCUAAGUUAUGCUCUUCUUCUCGGAAUUCAGAUCCUAGGGUUUCGUUUCCUUUCCCUCUUCUUUCUCAGAAGUUAAACCCCACCUAAGCCUUCUCAAUCCUCUACAUUUUGCCUCUUCGCUUUCCACAUUUCACCUCCAUUAUCAAUUUCUAUAUUCCAGGAAAAUCUAACUCCUCUGGACCUGCCACAUCAAUCAAUUCAUGGCCAAAACCAAACCAGGCAAAAAAGACCUCGAUUCCUACACUAUCAAAGGCACCAACAAAGUUGUUCGACGUAUGUACUCUCUCUCUCUCUCUCUCGCUCUCUCUAUUGGUGGAAUCUCCAUCAUUCCUUUUUUGCCUUUGGGAACCCAUGAAUUUCUCAUCUUUUUCCCCCUUUUAGAACCCAUAUUCUCAUAUUGUUUCCUUUUUUUGACGUUAAAGAUUUUGAAAACCCAGUAUUAAUGGAAGUUUUCAUACUUUGUUUUUCAUCAUUUUUAAUGUUGGGUCAUUUGUUUUCCCGUUUGGGUCUCUGAAGACCGUGGAAGUUGCUACUUUUUUGCUUAUUCUCAAAAACCCCAAAAUCUCGUUUUUAUGAUAAUUUUUGAACCGCCCAUUUUGCAGAAAUAUUGCCUAACUUUUAUUUUUUGAUCAUUCAAUGUUUUGUUCAUUUUGUUGCAGCUGGUGAUUGUGUGUUGAUGCGCCCAUCGGACUCCGAUAAGCCUCCCUACGUCGCACGAGUUGAGAAAAUUGAGGCCGAUCAUCGCAAUAAUGUCAAAGUCCGUGUCCGGUGGUACUAUCGGCCAGAGGAGUCCAUUGGUGGCCGCCGUCAAUUCCAUGGGGCAAAAGAGCUCUUCUUAUCGGACCACUACGAUGUGCAAAGUGCACACACAAUUGAAGGCAAGUGCAUCGUGCACUCAUUCAAGAACUACACUAAGCUUGAAAAUGUUGGAGCUGAGGACUACUUCUGUAGAUUUGAAUACAAGGCUGCCACUGGUGGGUUCACCCCUGAUCGGGUAGCUGUGUGAGUAUUCUUUUGCAUUUUCUGUUAUUUGGGUUGAAUUGAUUUUGUAGGUUUUUAAGUGUUGAAGUAAUUGGAUUAUUCAACUGAGACCUGGAUUCUUUUUUCUUCCUUGUAAGGUACUGUAAAUGUGAGAUGCCAUACAAUCCAGAUGAUCUAAUGGUGCAGUGCGAGGGUUGCAAAGAUUGGUAAAUUUUUUGCCAACUCUCAAUUUUUAACAAGAAUUAUAUAUAUUAAAUUGCAAAGCUUACAUUUACAUAUUCUGCUGAUCUUUUAAUUUGUAGAAGCCACAUGAAUUUUGAAUUAGUGUGGACAUACUGUCCUUUUGGUCUGUUUAUCAAAUGUUUCACGGUAGUAUUUCCAUUAUUGAUAUACUUAUAACCUUGCGCUCAAUUUAAACCUUUGUUUGGCUGGUUAAACACUUAGUUAACUUAAGUGCACCAAGUGAUGCUGUACCUUGAAUGUUUAGAGGAAGUAUAUCCAUCUUAUAGUAUUUUCAUAUUUCGUUGUUUAUUUGGACUGUCGCCAAAAGCAAUAAUUGGUGCCAAUGUGUCAUUAAGCUUGUGAGUUGCAUGAUGCUGCAAAGCUCUAGCUUAUGUAAGGUUUUUAAUGAAUGAAUCUAGCUUGAACUAAGUGAAGCUUGCUGAAGCACUUGCAUUAAUUGUGUAUGGGUCUGAGUCAGCCUGUAUGUGGGCACGUUUCAUAUCUAACAGUCUUUUACAAUAGACUAAAGAAGUAACACACACACACACACACACACACACACCCACCCACCCACCAUGUACUUCUAGUAAGGUCCCUAAAUGUUAAGCAUCUAGAAAUGACAUUAUAAUAAUUAGGAUGGUUAGCUAUGUUGCUGAAGCACAUGCAUUAAUUGUGUAUGGGUCUGAGUACUGUAUGUGGGCACGUUUCAGAUCUAACAGUCUUUUACAAUAGACUAAAGAAGUAAAACACACACACACACACACACACACACCAUGUACUUGUAGUAAGGUCCCUAAAUGUUAAGCAUCUAGAAAUGACAUUAUAAUAAUUACGAUGGUUAGCUAUGUUGCUGAAGCACUUGCAUUAAUUGUGUAUGGGUCUGAGUCAGCCUGUAUGUGGGCACUUUUCAGAUCUAACAGUCUUUUACAAUAGACUAAAGAAGUAACACACACACACACACACCAUGUACUUGUAGUAAGGUCCCUAAAUGUUAUGCAUCUAGAAAUGACAUUAUAAUAAUUAGGAUGGUUAGCUUUUGGUGAUCGAAUGAUUAAUAAUUGUUGUUAUAUGCCUGAUGAUCGAAAGUAGUAAACACCUGAUAUUGAGUUGUAAGCAGAAAACUUAUGUUAUAUUGCAGGUGCUUACUUAAAAAUGUGUCAUCUUGGUGUUUGGUGUAGUUUCAAAUCACCUUUUAUCAUAGUUUCAACAUCAUAUUAUUAUGAAUUGGAUUCAUGAACUUUCUUACUUGUAGUAUUAAGAAAGGUCGCAUGGAGUUUUGAUGGGUUCUUUGAACUUUUUUGGAUUAAUUGUAACAUUGUGUUUCUUGUCUGUCAAAGCUCAUUAACUGUAGAUUGUUUAAACUUUUAGAUGAAGUACUCAAUUUAUAUUGGAAUUUGGAACUCUUUCACAGCUGAUUGGGUUUAUUUAUUUAUUUUUAUUCUUCUAUCAACUAAAUUUGGAAGGGACGCUUUCCUUUAAUAUCCUUAACCAAGUGGAAUAGACAGAUCCAUUUAGCUGAUCCAUUAGAUUGAGAUUAAUGCUUGAUUUUACCAAGUAGAAACAUUAUGGAAAUAGAUCGAAACCAGAAUUUGAUGGUUGAACACUUAUUUAACCGUGGUGCGCUUUUUUGAAGUUGUGAUAUAUCAUAUACUGCAUAAUCAAAUAUUACAACUUGUCGAAUUGGAUUGUUUUUUUGUGCUUGAGUGAUUAUGCAAUAGCAGUAAGUUCUUGAGUGAUUAUGUAGCAGUAAGAACACUAAAAACUGUGAUUUCCUAACCGCUUUGCUAAUACAUUGCAGGUUUCAUCCUUCUUGUAUGGGUAUGACAAUUGAAGAAGCCAAAAAAUUGGAUCACUUUCUGUGUUUUGACUGUUCCUCUGAUGAUGAUGCCAAAAGGACUUUGAACGCUUUCCCAGUAUCACCAUCUGUUGAGGCCAAGGUGAACAUUGUGUCCCAUCUCCCUAGUACAACUACAGGUGUGGGUGAAUAAGUAGCGCCUAGGUGUCAAAUUAUCAUGAGAACUAGUGAUCAGCUUCGCUGCUUGUGUACUGAUAUUAUUUGUUCUUCCAGUUCUGGUGGUUUUAAUCUUUUACAACUUGGUACUUGGUUUCUCCAGCCAUCCUUUUUCCCUGUCAGUUUUGCAAUCAAGUUAUAUUCUCAUCUCAAAGAUUAUAGGAUGAUGCUCAGCUUGUUGUCUUAGAUGUCAUGCUUUGGUCUUGCACAAUCUUUGCCCACCUUAUCUGUCAUAUAACCUGUUUUCACUGUGCAACCAAAUUUCAGUUUUGUUACCUAUUGGCAUGUAACUAAUGAUAAAAAAUGCCAACUGAUUUUGACGGUAUGGAUGUAUAGGGGCUUCUUAAUAUGAAUGCAGGAAAUUUCUAUAAAGUUUGAUAUGGAAGAAAUAGCUGAGAGCCGCAUUAAUUUGGAGGCAUAUAUACUGUGAUUAUGACAUCGUUAAGUGAUUAAAGUAGUGCAAACAUUGUAGAAGAGUACAAUACUCACUAUGCUGAUACUGCAUAGAGCUCUACUGAUUUGUGUUAAAGUUUAUCCUGGGCUGAUUGUGCCCUUGCUAGUUGCAAAUUUUGGUUCCAUGUACUAAUAUUCUAAGGCCUCUUGGGCCUUUGGGAUUGUUGUUAUUGGUCGUGUUUCGUACAUUCAAAAACACAGAGGAAUAUUGGCCAAAUUAUGUUCAGUUCAUGGGGAACUAAGGAUUACUGACCUGAGCAUUACUAUUUCCAUUGGCGGGCAUGAAAAGGUGUAUCUUAACAUGAUGGUCCAUCAAAUGACAUUUUACUUGUUCAAUUGUAUUGCAACAUACACCUCAGAUGGUACGUAAAUAUUGGCCGAGUUAAUUUGUCUGUUAAUGAACAAAUGCACAUGGGACAGGGGGUUGGCGUUUGAUUUGGGAUUUCUUUUUUAGUUUCUUAACAAGCAUGCCAUCAGCUUCUUAUUGCAAUUAAAUUUAAACUGUGUAGUUAUAUUGUUUCAAGGUAGAGCAGAGGAUUAGCAAGUAGAAUACAUGCUUAAUUAAUUUAGAUCAUCGAAUGUUGGAUUAGAGAGAGAGAGAGAGAGAGGAAACAGCUUAAUGGGUGUGACCUUGUUCAUCCUAGUUGAUGGUUUCCAUUUAUAUUUAGGGAUAAAUUGGAAGGUUGGAAUGGAUGUGUUGGUGGCAGUGAAAAGUACCACCUACUACCUAGGAGGUUGGACUUCAAACAAGUUCUGUUUCUAUUGAGGGCAAUGUCUAUGCAGCAGUGAUUAUUUGAGGUCCUAUACUCUGUUGAGAAAUUGGUUUUUUAUUUGCUUAGCCAAUUUUUUCCCCUUUUUAAUUUUCUCCAUCAACGGUCAGUAUGCUCUUGCUUGAUCAUGGUAAACUAGUAUAGUAAUGCUUUAUACUAUGUAUUGGAGGAAGUUAGUUUUAAAAGAAGGUAAGGUUUUUGGACUUCACUAACUCACACGCAUAUACACACAUGAACGAGAAUGUCAUAUGCACAAUAAUCAGACUGGUACUUUUAUCAUUGCAGACUUUGUUUACAAUUUCAUCGUAUUAGAUUUUACACAUUACUUUUGCUGCUUAUCACAUGAUACUUCUAGAAUUUGGGAUGGGAUCUUGUAGUUUAGUUGUCUAAAAACUCUACAUGUCCAUUUCCUUUAGAUCUUCUCUGUUGUGUGGAAGCGAAAUAUUGUGAAAUAUUCUAUUUCUACUUUAUAGGUUUUGCUUCUUUACAGUUAUUGGUGAUUUGCUUAACAUGGAUUUUCUAUAUAAAGGAUUUUAGUUUUAACAGAAAACAUUUUUUGAUGGUUGCAGAAACUAGUAACUUUCUGGUGUCUGUCUAAGGUGUUCCCAUGUUAUUUUGUCUUUGCUAAGUUGCUUAUUUGCAUAAGUAUUAUCUGUACAAGUAUCUCACAUGGUAACCCUAGCAUACUUUAUUUAUCUAAUAUGAUACUCGUUUGGUAUUUUGACUUUAUAACUUGCUUUAGCUUUCUCUGUUGAAACUAAUCUGUACUUUGCAUCUCUAAGUAAAUCUUUGUGCUUGAGAGUUUCGGAUGGCAUUUGAUUGUUUAGAUAUCCAAAUGAUCAUCUCCUCAAGUUCUGCUUGGAGCUAAAUGUUGUAGUCCUCUUGGUGUUCAUAAUUAGUGAUUAUUUUAUCUGUAUGAUGCAUAUAUCUGACUGAGUCAUGAAAUUAUGUAACACUCAUGAGCAGGUGGCAAAAUUGGAUGCCAAUCUUUGUGGGGAGAUUAUAUUCCCUGUGCUUUGUCUAUUUUGGUCAGAGAGAAAAUAAUGUUAAUUCAUUAACCCUUCGUUUGGUAUGAAUGAUUUUGUAAGAAAAGAAUUCAAAUGAAUUCUUGCAAAAUCAUUCAUGAUUUCAUUUUUUAUACAUGAUAAAAAGUUUUCAAGUUAAAAAAUUUUUAAUUCUUUUAUUUCAAACAAAAAUUUUGCAAGAAAAGAAUUCAAUUGAAUUGAAUUCUUAUAAAAUUCUUAAUUCCAAACAGAGGGUAAAGGAUUUAAGUCAUAUUUAUGAAAGUUAAUUUAUCAGAAGCAUUAGAAGUUCUGAAUAAUUAGCGAAUUUUAUUGCAAAAGAUGGAGGUGUAGCCUGUGUAAGUUUAAAUGGCAUAUUUUGUUUACAAGGAAAAGCUAAUGGAUUUAUGUUAAAUGCUUUGGAAAAGGAUCCUUUUGUUUUUGUGUUGCCUGAAGAAGAAUAUAUGUGUUAAUUCCUACGAAAAGAAAAUUCAUUUCAAUUGAUAUUUUGAUUCUUGAUUGUUUCUAAUAUGGGAUUAUUAGUCUUUUCUGUUUUUUUGUCCCUUUACUCUUUAUGAUGUAUUUUUCUCGUCUUGGUUUUUUAUGCUAGCUGGAGACAAAGCGAAGGAAGAGAUGACAGAUAAUCAUGAUGGGUGAUUGGGAGGUACUUUUUCUUGCACAUUAGCUGCAGUGUGUUCUUGUUGCUUGAUGUUCAAUUAUACAGUGCUGAUAAGAUAUUAUGCUUGCACAAGCAAGAGGCUCUUCUUAUUUAUAAUUUUCUAGUGUUUGUUCGUGCGAAUGGUCUUAGGAGAUGAUCUGUAGUGCCUAAUGAUGUCCUCGUGAGUGCUGUGCCAAAAAUUGAAGUGUCUUUUUUCUUUUCUGCUCCUAAAAUGAUGAUGAAUCAAAUUAAAUGUCUCGUGAACCUUGGGUUUGUUAUGGUAUAUGCUAUAUAUGUGACAAACUCAUUCUGUUCUUCCUUUCUUCUUCCCUUAAUCACAAGGGACGUGGAAAGAGGAGUUGGGUUUUAGCAAGAGAUGUAACAGUCGACUUAAUCCAGGCACUGCUUUGGACUCAAAUCUUCAUGUGGGGUGAUUUGUUGAUGUAGAUGAAGGCAAAUACCACUUAGUCUCAACGUCCAAGGGUGGUUAUGGUUUUCUUGUUCCUUUUUUCAUUUUUUUCUUUUUGUAUAGAUGGCUCUGGACAAAUUUUUGAGCCAGUGUCCCAAUUCUCUAGUUGCCAAGUCUUCUGAAAUUUUGAAUCACCUGUUGAAAGCUAGCUGAUUGAAUGUGGGAUUUCCUCUAUUGAGCAGAGCUGCUGAUAGCCUUGCCGAGGGCAUCAACUGUUCCGUAUGAAUAUAUAUGAAUAAACCAUAUUUGUAGGAGCAGGGGAGCAAUGCCACCAUCUAUUGGUGAGCAUCUUUAUCUAAUUAUGCAUAUUUUUGUUAUCGACAGCCUCUAGUUGAGAAAGAGAGAGAGAGAAAAGUUCACAUUGGAGUUUUGUGUGCAUAAUGCAUGAAUGGGUUUCUUGAAGGAUUUGGAAUCCCACACAUAUGUUCUAAGAUGAUAUUUUAAUCACAUAUAUCAGAGUUGAGUGCUGGGAAAGAAAAUGCAAUUUAUGGUAUCAUACUGGAUCUUACUGGUUUCUGAGGGAAAAGGUAAUAACUCAAAAAUUGCAUGGUUAAGAAGAAAAAACAAAAAGAAAGCAAGGAGGAGCACUGUUUGAAUGCGGAUCGUUAAGCAAAUGUUGGUUGUUGAUCAACAUCCAUUUAUUAUGAAGGAUUUUAAUAAAAAAAAUUUACAUGUUUAAAAAAAGGUUUAACUAAUGAAAACUUAAAAAGAGAUUAUCUGUGUUUGCAAGGUCAUAAAGAGGUCAUAAAAUAUCUGGUCUCAAACAUGUGUAUCUAAUUAAUGGAGAAAUUUACUAUUUAGGAAAAUUUAUUAGUUGAUCUAUUGGGAUUGAAGAAUAUAUUGAGAUUUUAAAAAAUUUAUUAAAUUAGUUAUUUCUUUUAUUUUAGCCAAUAAGUAUAGUAUUAUAUAAUCUCAAUGGUAUGGAAAAAUUAGAGAGCUGAUGUAGCAAUGGAGGUUAAAUUUAGCAAAAGGAGUUAAUGGUGGGAUAAACUAAUCCUAUGGUAACAGUUCAAGCUAAAUCUAUCAAGAAAAAAAAUUUUUCUUUUUUUAUUUAAUAUAUAUUAAAAAACUAAAACCUAUUGGUUUCUUAAAUAAUUUCUUUUUAUUAAGAAAUUUCUAAAGUAUUUUAAAGCAUAAGGUAUUUAAUUUUUUUGAUGAGUAAGAAAAGUCAAUAAAAUUCAUUACUUAAUCUGUGUCAACUUUAUUUUCUUAAAUAAAGUUAUUUAUGGAUUUAUUAUUAUGUUAUUAUUUAAUAUGCCAAUAAAAAAAAUUUAUCCAUUGUAGAAGUAAUUUGAUGUAAUAUAAUAAUAUUAAGAAAAAGGUUAAACAGAAAUUAUUUUAACUAUAUUAAUCAUUGUCUCUUCUUAAAUUAUAUUGAAAAGAGUAAUAACUAUACUAGAACUUACAAGCGAUUGCUAUAGCCUUGAAUUCAACAUGUAACAUGGGGAGACCUUUCUGUUAUUCAAGGUGUAACUAUCAUCUUUAAAAAAAAAAUCGUUUACUUGUCCUCUGUUAUUCAUGAAAAGAAAUUUCUUGCACGUAUCUACAUGUUAAAGUUAUCAGUUUUAGAGGAGGGGCAAUAGUUCGAGUCAGUCAAAAGUAAGCUCAGAAAUAUUAGAGACACUCCAUCAAAGACUUAAAAAAAUGACAAUUUCAAUUGACUUAUUGAAAAAGUCCCUCACACACAGUUUGAGUCAACAGAUCAAAAGGUAUGUUUUGGUUCGAUUUUAAAUAACAUUAUAAAAAAGAGCUUGAUCUUAAACAAUAUUAUAAAAAAGAGCUUGUUAACCUUUUGAGAAGUACGAAGCUUCGACAUAAUCACACACAGCUUAAAUAUAGAUAUUUUAGUUAAGUCGAUUCAGCAAAAAAAAAAGAAGGAAAUUCACUUGUAAAAGAGAGUAGGUAAUAAAAGGUGAAAUUAAUAAACUGUCAAAUGCAUGAUUGAUUAAGAAAAUGCAAUAUUCUACAUGACUCAUUAAUGUGGUGCUAGUGAAAAAACCUUAUAGAAAGUGAAGGAUAUGUGUAGACUUUACGAAUUUAACCAAAGCAUGUCCCAAGAAUCAGUAUCGACUCUAUCUAUUGAAAGGUUAGUUGUGGUUUCUUUUUUUGAUAUUAUUUCAAGUGUGAAACUAUUUAGAAGUAAUAUAGUUUCUAAGAGGGGUAUGAAGAUUAACACAUAAAAAUUAAAGCAAUAUGGGACAUAAAAGUAUCAAAAUGCAUUAAUGAUAUCUAAAAAUUAAACGAGCGGAUGACAACCUUCGGUAGUCAUUUCAUAUUCCGCUAAACGGUGUCAUUUUUUAAGACUUUAAAGAGAAAUAAUAAAUUCAUUUGAGGAGAAACUUUUAAUGGCUUAAAAGGUUUUGUAUCUUCUUCAUUAUUAUUUUAUAAAAUUAACUCCUUAAUUAUUAAUCAUUAAUUAUUUAAAUAUUUAAACUAUUUAAUUUUUAUAAUUUAAAUUAAAUAUAUUAUUUAAUCAUAUAAUUUUAAAUAUGUAUAUUAUGUAUAAUCUCUUUGACAAAAUUUAAAACAAAUUAAUUAAUAUUUCUCAUGACUAAACAAUUUAAUUAUAUAAAAAAUAUAUAAAUAAUUUAAUUAAGUAAUUUUAAAAUAAAAACAAAAUACUCCAUUUCUUAAAAUUUCAGAGACCUAAUAAUAAUUCAUCUAUUUUUUUCUUUAAAAAUGGAAGAUACUCUUUAACAAAACACACUGUCCUUUUGAAAUAGUUUAUAUAUAUAUAUAUAAAUAUAAAGCAUCAUUCAAUUAUAGAAUAUAAUUAUUCUAUGAAAUAUGAAAAUGGUAUUUAUUGGUAAGAAAUACGGUUUAAAAAAUAGUGCCCUAGUUUUCUUUCUCUAGUUUUCUUUCCUUCUCUUUGAGGCAGUGGUCUUGACUUUGCUGGUGAUGCAGCUGCCUUUUUCCAAUUUUUGCCUGGGUCACGUUCCUUUCCUCCCCACAUGGGUGAAAUUUUUUUCCCUUUUUCCUUUUUUUUUUUUUCAGUAGGUAAUGUUUAUCGAUAGAACGGUUUGUUUAUUUUUUCAGUCUGUGAUGUCCCAAGAUAAGUGACUAAAAAGUAGGUAAAUAGUCACUUUACCAAUUUUUCAACUGUUGUUCUAAGAUUCAAUUAAAAAUUAAAACUGCUAUUUCUGAGUAUGAGUGAGUUCUAGUUUAAACAGAUAAUUAAAAUAUUUUCUUGAAAGAUUAAAAAAUAAAUUUAUUAAAUGCAAAUAUGUACUAUAAAGAUUAAAAAAUAAAUUUAUUAAAUGCAAAUAUGUACUAAAUAGAUGUAGAUAACAUAAAGUAAAAAUGAAAUUAACAAGCUAAUUUUUGUAUAUUCUUGUAACAUUAUUUUAAUAUUUAAACACAUAUCUCAAAUAAAUAUUAAAAAGCUGNNNNNNNNNNNNNNNNNNNNNNNNNNNNNNNNNNNNNNNNNNNNNNNNNNNNNNNNNNNNNNNNNNNNNNNNNNNNNNNNNNNNNNNNNNNNNNNNNNNNNNNNNNNNNNNNNNNNNNNNNNNNNNNNNNNNNNNNNNNNNNNNNNNNNNNNNNNNNNNNNNNNNNNNNNNNNNNNNNNNNNNNNNNNNNNNNNNNNNNNNNNNNNNNNNNNNNNNNNNNNNNNNNNNNNNNNNNNNNNNNNNNNNNNNNNNNNNNNNNNNNNNNNNNNNNNNNNNNNNNNNNNNNNNNNNNNNNNNNNNUGCAGAGAGUUCUGGAUAUGCGUCCAUGUACGUUCAACAAUCAUCUCCUGGUUCUUGAGAAGUUGGAAGGUUUCUCCCACCCGUCUAAGGUUCCUCUUACCCAUGUCCCCUUCUGGAUUCAGGUGCAUGGUUUGCCGUCGGGGUUCUUUUUUGAACGUGUAGUGACCCGCAUAGGGAAUGAAUUGGGUGUCUUCAUGGAAUCUGAUCCUUACAACUUCCUGGGUCCUCGGAGGGCUUAUGUUCGGCUUCGAUACAAGCAUGACCUUUCAGCUCCCAUUCACAAAUCCUUGAGAAUGCGCAAGAGUGAUGGAGCAUGGUUCACUGCAACUUUUGCUUAUAAGAGGGCGCCCAGUUUCUGUUUCAUUUGUGGACUGUUUGAUCAUACAGAGAAAUUUUGCAGGGAGCUUCUGAAGUUUGGGAAUGCGCCAGUGGUUCGAAAAUUUGGGCCGAAAUUACGUGUCAAUCAUCGACGCCCUCAGAGUCUUGGCAGCCGAUGGCUUAAGGGAGGAGGAGGGGAGCAAAGCAUCCAAGGUCAGUCGAGUUUUAAUUCUGGUAAUUCCACUGAUAGCGGACUGAAUUCGCCUCCAAAUGCGGGGGUCUAUAAUGAUCAUGAUAUGGAAAGGGGUCAAGAGGAUCUUGAUGUUGGGGAGGAUCAAGCUAUGGGUUUGGGAGUUGGUGUAACCAUUGUUGAUCCUAAACGGCGACGUAUAGGACCUGAUCACAAGAAGGUCAUUGGGGAGAGGUCCUCUGUGGUACACGGUUCAAGCAAUGCAGGUAGUAAUCAGUCAAAAAAUGGAGUAGCGGCGGGUCCUGGGGUUCAGGCCCGCCGAUCACAAUGAGUUGUAUUAGUUGGAACUGUCGUGGGCUUGGCAACCCACGAGCAGUUCAGGCCCUGAAAGAGAUGAUCAGGGUUAAGAGGCCGAACUUUCUUUUCUUGAUUGAAACUUUAUGUGGUUCUGCUAGGGUGAAUGAGAUAAAAGGUUUGUUGGGCUUUGAUGAUUUUUUCAGUGUGGAUAGUUUGGGUCAUAGCGGAGGGUUGACUUUAUUGUGGAGGUCAGUCUCUUCUAUCUCUCUCUUAAGUUCAUCGCAACAUCAUAUUGAUACAGAAAUCUGCAUGGAUGGUGUUGGUUCUUGGCGCUUGACAGGGUAUUAUGGUGAAGCUGAUCGUGGCUCUCGCCACUUGUCUUGGCAGAGACUGCGUAUACUGGCAUCUCAUCUUGAAGCGCCUUGGGUGUGUUUGGGUGACUUCAAUGAUAUUCUUUCUCCAUCUGAGAAGCGAGGUGGUCGACCCCAACCUCCACGCUUGAUCAAUGGGUUUCGAAAGGCUCUUUGUGAUUCUGGUCUUAUAGAAUUUCCUAUGACAGGAUACCCGUUCACGUGGGAGCAUAGCAGAAACAGUGGUAGUUGGGUGGAAUCUAAGUUGGAUCAUGUUCUUACUAAUGCUCAAUGGCGUGCCAGGUUCUCUAAUUCUUUAGCUGAAGUGAUGGGUUUCUCUACAUCUGACCAUCUGCCUAUCCUGCUUGUAGUUAAAUGCUUUGUGGAACAGCGUCAUGCUCACCGGUUUCGUUUUGAGAAUACGUGGCUAUGUGAGACUGGUUGCCGGAAUCUUAUUUUUGAUAUUUGGCAGUCUUCUUCUAACAUGGAUGCUGCGGGUAAGCUUGAGGCUUGUCGUUCUGCUCUCAAAUCUUGGGGUAUAAAUCUUCGUCUUAAGCACAAAGUGGAGAUGGAUGAGUGCCUUGCUAUCAUGUCCCAUUUACGUGGCUCUCGCCUACAGGAACAUAUAACUGAGUUUUUACGAGCUAAAGCCUGCUUCUUUCACCUCCUAAAUCUCCGUGAGAUCUUCUGGAAGCAGCGGGCCAAGCAAUUUUGGCUUAAGGAGGGUGAUGCUAAUACUCGUUUUUUCCACCAGUCUGCCAGUGCUCGAAAAAGGAAAAACACGAUUGUCAAACUGCUAGAUGAUUCAAAUGUAUGGCGGGACAGGAAUUCGGGGUUGGAGGGUGUGAUGACUGAUUACUUUAUGACUCUUUUUACUUCCCACAGUUGUAAUUCUGAACAUGUUUUGCAGUGUGUCCCGACGUUGGUAUCACAAGAUCAUAAUGCUUCUCUCUUAGCGCCAUACAGUUGUGAUGAGGUAAGGUCUGCAGCCUUUUCCAUGAAAAUUGAUAAAUCUCCUGGGCUAGAUGGUUUCAAUCCUGGUUUUUUCCAGCAGUAUUGGAAUAUUAUAGGAGAUGAUGUAUCUAGUUUUUCCAUUGAGUGUCUGCAUUCCUUGUCUAUUCCUCUGAAGUUGAAUGAGACGGCUUUAGUUUUGAUUCCAAAGAAGUUUGUGCCUGAGCAAAUGAGCGACUUGCGUCCUAUAGCCCUCUGCAAUGUGGUCUAUAAGAUCAUCACUAAGAUGAUAGUUAAUCGGCUUAAGUCCCUUCUGCCCACCAUCAUCUCGGAGAGUCAGAGUGCUUUUAUUGCUGGUCGAAGUAUUCAGGAUAAUAUAAUCUUAGCUUUUGAGGCCUUGCAUGGUUUUAAAGUGCAUCAAAGGAAAAAAGAGUUUUCUGGGGCCCUCAAAAUGGAUAUCAGCAAGGCCUAUGAUAGACUUGAGUGGGGUUUCAUUCGGGAUAUGCUUCUUCGGCUGGGUUUUGCGCAACAAUGUGUUGCUUUGCUGUUCUCUUGUAUCUCCACUGUUCGUUAUUGGAUCCUGCAUGAUAGCAAGGAGUUAGGCCCUAUUGUUCCUACAAGGAGAUUGAGGCAAGGAGACCCCUUAUCGCCGUACUUGUUUAUUCUUUGUGCUGAGGGGCUUUCCCGUCUCCUGCAAAAUUGUAUAAGCAGUGGAAGCCUUCAUGGGUAUAGGGUUUCUCGGGGUGGCCCGCAGCUUUCUCACCUUUUUUUCGCAGAUGAUAGCUUGAUCUUCUUCCGAGCAAGUGUUCAGGAGGCUUUGGAACUCAAGCGUAUCCUUCGCAUGUAUGAAAAUGCAUCUGGACAGGUGAGAAACCUUCAGAAAUCAUCUAUCUCCUUUAGUAGGUACACUCCUGUGGCUCUUCGGGACUCUGUAUGCUCAGUACUUCAGGUUGAGGAGAAACCAGAUUUUGGAAAUUAUUUAGGACUUCCUUCUCAUGUUAGGAAUAAUAAGAGGGAAGUGUUCAGUUUUGUUAAGGAUAGAUUGUGGAAAAGGCUGAAUUCUUGGAAGCAUCGGGCACUGUCUCAAGCAGGUAAGGAGGUUCUCUUGAAAACAGUCCUCCAAGCUUUGCCAAACUAUGUGAUGAGCUUAUUUUUACUUCCUCGGACUCUUUGUGAUGAACUGCAACGCAUGAUGACUAGAUAUUGGUGGAGUAAGGGGGCGGAUCAAAAUCGGGGUAUUCAUUGGCUGGGUUGGCACAGAAUGGCAAAGCACAAAUCUGAUGGCGGGCUACGUUUCAAAAUUCUUUAUAAGUUUAACUUGGCCAUGCUUGGGAAGCAGGGCUGGCACAUUAUCAACAGGCCUCAGUCCUUAGUGGCUCGUGUCCUUAAGGCCCGCUAUUUUUCGACACAAUCUUUCUUUGAAGCUCCUUUGGGAAGUAACCCUAGUUUUUUGUGGCGCAGCAUAUGGGAAACUCGGGGUCUGAUUCGAGCUGGGGCUUACUGGAGGAUUGGGAAUGGUCAGUCAGUUUCAAUCUGGGGGCAACCCUGGUUGAGAGAGCUGCCUGAGUCCCUGGUUUCCACAACCCCUCCUUUGAACUGUGCUAGAGUUGUUGUUUCAGAUCUCAUAAUUAACCACAGAUGGAACGAGAGUUUAAUUGCACAGAUGUUCAAUGAAAGAGAUAGAAGUUGUAUUUUGAACAUCCCUCUUAGUCUUUCAUCGUGUUCUGAUACAUGGUACUGGAAAUUCGAGUCCAAAGAUCACUAUUCGGUUAAGAGUGCAUAUAGGUUCCUGGUUGAUGGCUUUCAACAUAGGGAAGGGAGCGAGAUAUGGAAAAGGUUCUAGAAAGCUAAAGUUCCCCCAAAAGUGCUCAAUUUCUGCUGGCGGGCUCUAGUUAAUGUUGUCCCUUGCCUCUCGUUACUUCAGUCCAAGAGAGUCCCAGUUGAUCCUUCAUGCCCGUUGUGUCAUGUAGCCCCUGAGAAUGUCUUGCAUAUUCUGAUUCAGUGCCCUUUUGCCCGCAGCUGCUGGUUAAGCUCGUCGUUGGGUUGGCCUGCGCCUUCUGCAUCUUCUUUAAAUGAGUGGUUUUCUUUAGCCUUCUCUUCUGCUUCUGUGGAAAAUGCCUCCCUUAUGCUAAUGAUCUUAUGGGCUUUGUGGCAAAAUAGGAACAAUGUUGUAUGGAAGGGCCAGGGUCAGACUGCGAGUGGUGUGUUCUUCAUGGCUCUGAAUUUUUUGCAGCAAUGGAAAGCAGCCCGGGUCGUGUCCUCAGUAAGCACCAUUGUCGACCCGGCUCGCCUGAUCUGGUCUCCUCUGCCGCAUGGUUGGAUCAAGGCGAACAUUGACGCCUCUUUAAGAUUGCAACGAGGUUCGGUAGGUUUCGGUUGUGUAAUCCGGAAGGAUGAUGGGAGUUUUGUGGCUGCUAGAGCAGGCUCUUUUUAUAGCCAGAUGGAUGCAAAGUGUGCUGAAGAUAUAGCAUUCCGGGAAGCAUUGAGCUGGAUUAAAGAGUGUGGAUGGGAUCGAGUUCUUUUCGAAUUGGAUGCUCAGGUACUUGUGAUGUCAGUUAAUUGUGUUUUAUUAGAUGAUUUAUCGUCUUUUGACCUUUUAGUUCAAGAUUGUAAACUGCUUCUAUCUAGUUAUGAGGAAACAAAGUGUGUUUUUGUUUAUAGAUCUGCAAAUGAUGUCGCUUAUGUUCUAGCAACAUCGGCUCAUUCUAAGUCAGGUCAAGGAGUUUGGAUUGAUAUCCCUCCUCCUCAUAUUGUUUCUUUGUUCUCUUUGAAUUAAUAAAGUUUUCUUGUUAUUUCAAAAAAAAAAAAAAACAAUUAUAAUAAAAAAAUUGAUUUAAUUUCAGCAAUGAUUUCUAGUGUGAAAAUUAUCUCAUUAUUGUUUAUCUUUAAUAAUACUUACAAAUAUAAAAACUAAAUUUAAAAUAUUAAUAAUAUUACCUUAUUUUACAAUUUAUUUAUUUAUCUAUCAAUAUGCAUUAACCAAUAUAUAAAACGAUCAGGAUGUUAGAAUAAUCCUUUAAAAAAAAUAUUCUGCAAAACGUAAAAUAAAAACUAUAAAUAGUUUUUAAUUUUUUAAAAAUAAACAAAUAAAAAACCAAUAAUAUUAUUAAACACAAUGAUAUUACAUAAGACUCGCUCAAAAUAGACAGUGAGCUGCUACCAUUAGACAGAGCCACAUAGCAAGGAUUUAAUAAACAUAUAUGCAGUUCCACCACCAUAGAAAAGAAGACCCGGGUGCUUCAGGACAAGUCGGACAGACUCGCCCUCUCAACUUUAGGGCAAUGCUCCAUAAGAAAAUUACCGUUAACGGCUAUAAUCUAGGAGAUCCCCUUUACGUCUACGAUCACGGAAUUCCCGACCAAUUAGCUGGAGAAGGUAUCUUACUAAUGAGUUGGUCAAAUCAUCGCCGGAUCAUCAGAGAAUGCCAUAUUUAUCUCCAUUUUCUUAAAAUAUAAAAGGAGAAAGAUUACAAAGGUAAAAGUACGUUGUUCUCUCACACAACUACUCUUGAGUUAUAAACAUUAUACUCGCUUUUCUUCACCCUACUGACUUGAGCAUCAGAGUGGCUACCGUAAACACUCACCACCUCACAUUUUCUUUCUCACAGGUUUAGCCAAUCACAGCACAGUUCCAUUUCGGCUACGUCAUCAAUUUGAUUUUAACAACAUCAUUUGGUUCUGUUGUUAAGAAUUCCAUUGAAUUCUUUCUGUUCAUUUAGAUUAAAACCGAUCUCUUAUCCCUUUUUUCCUAAAAAGAAAUCUUUCUUUUAUCUUUAGAAAUGAUCGACAAUUCACGAGCCGCUGCUAAGGUUGCUAUCGAUGAAAAGGCUAUAAUUUCUUCCACUACCAGCAGUAGACAAAACACAUCUCCUAUAGUCAAUGAAGUAGAUUCCAAUAAUAUGAGCAUUGAGAAAAUACUCCAGUACGUUCGAAGGUUGUAGGUUAUUUUUGAGCAAUGUAAAGCUCAGGAAAAGGCAUCACUCAUGGCUCCUAGGGGAAGGGAGAAAGCUCAAGGAUUCGGACAGGGGCAAUCCAGACGCAUUCCAAAGAGAAGGACAAGUUCGAGGAAGAGGGGCCGUUAGAUGAUGUUCCCAAGGAUGUUGGCUAGAAGUUGGUACGGGUUGCCUAAAGGGGCCAGGAGGGAUGGGAAAAAGACAAAAGGAUGGAUCAGAAGCAAAGUCAAAAACCGAAGAAUCAAGGAUAUGAGGGAGACAAUAAAAGUUACUCAGUCCCCCGAGGAAAGAAUGGCCAAGGUAAGUAUAAAAAAUAUACCUCAUUGAAUGACUCAUGAACACAUAUUCUAAUGUGGAUUAGGAAAAAUGACAAAAAGAUCAGGUGACCUCUCAAACUCAAUCCUAAGAAAGCCAAAAAACGAGACAGGACUAGAUAUUGUCAUUUUCAUAAAGACCACGGACAUGUAACAAAGGAGCGCUGACAAUUGAAAGAUGAGAUCGAAAGGUUAGUAGGGAACGACACACACUUUGAAAGUUCAUCAAAAAUAGUAGAAAAGAUAAGAGGCCCAAACUCGAGGUAACAAUUCCCGAAAUCAUCAUUGACAGUAAACUUGUGAGGUUAUUCAUGUGAUUGCAGGACGACUGAGUGUUAAUGAGGGUGACAAUAAUGGGAAUAUCACAAAUGUCCAGCUCUUGAGUCAAACUCCAAGUUUUGAAAUCGGUCAAGUCAGACGACCGAAUCUUUUAUUAGAAAAAUAUUUAUAAUUUAUGAAAAUGUUAUAAAAAUAGGAUGCAUUCUUCAAAUUUCUUUUUUGAAUCGUUGGAUGGAUGAAAGCGUGGAGACAAGAACAAAGGUCACAAGGCCAUCUGGGCAUGGGUCCUACAUAUAAUUCGGGCAUUGGUCUACGGAAACAAACAUUUAUAAAAGGCCACAAGGCCAUCCGGGUAUGGGUCUCACAUAUAAUCCAGGUAUUGGUCCACAAAAACUAAUAUUCAUAAAAGGCCACAAGGCCAUUCGGACAUGGGUUCCGCAUAACCAGACAUUUCAUAUUAGGCCACAAGGCGGAUAUACACCAGGCCAACCAAGUGUUAGUCCCGUUUCACAAAAAAAUUUUAAGGCAUUUUAUAUCAGGCCACAAGGCGAAUAUAUGCUAGGUCAACCGGGUGUUAGUCCCAUUUUACAAAAAGAUUCUUAAGGCAUUUCAUCCAAGCCACAACACGGAUAUACGCCAGACCAACUAGGAGUUAGUCCUGUUUCAUAAAAAAUUUCUUAAGGCAUUUUAUGUCAUACCACAAAGGUGGAUAUACGCCAGGCUAACCGGGCAUGGGUCCCGCAGUGGACAAACAACGUGAAACACGGCAACUAUUUUCGGCAAUAAGAUCUGGAACCUAUCGAAAGGGUAAGUAAGAAGAAAGCAAGAAUAUCGUGCAUUCAGUCUAGACAAACAAGUCACAUGGCCCAGAUCAUGAAAACAUCUGUCACCUUCGAAUCUCAAGAAUCGAAGACCAGCGGAGAACCUCUGAUGCUACAUAAGACUCGCGCAAAAUAGACAGUAAGCUGUCACCAUAAGACAGAACUACGUGAGAAGGAUCUGAUAAACAUAUACGUAAUCCCACUUGUAGAAAGAAAACCUGAGCGCUUCAAGACAGAUUGACCUCAAGUCGAACAGACUUGGCCUCUCAAUUUCAGUGCAAGACUCCAUAAAAAAGUUACCAUUAACCGCUACAAUAUAAUUUCAGCAACAUUAAACACAAUUAUCAUGCAAAUUAAAUAAGAAUUAAUUAUAAAAAUUCAAAAAAUUAGUUAUAUUGAAAAAAAAGAGAUUAAAGUGUGUAGUAUGUAUAUAAAUAAUAUCAUUAGCUGAAAAAAAAAUUCUCAUUCUUAUAAUUUUAGUCCUUUUUUUAGUUUUCAAAAUUAUCAUCGAUUUUAUUUUUUACACUAUGUCCAUAUUUUUUUUCUAUUUUAUUUUAUUUAUAUUAUAAUAAUAUAUAAAUUAAUUAUUAUAAUUUUAUUUAAUUUAAUACUAUUUUUAAAAAGUCUUUUCAUAAUAUCCGGUAAUAGUUAAUAAAAUUUAAUAUUUUUAAAAUCCAUAUAAUUAUAAAAUUAAUAAAAAAAUGUUCAUCCAUUACGGACAUAGGAGGACAUCCUAAUCGUAAUGGAGAUGCACAAAAUGGACAGUGACGUGUCCUCUAUCAUUGCUUUCCUCACAUCGCAGCAAAACCGACGUCACGCUCUUCCUCCAUUCCUCUCUCGCGAAGAGCUAAGUUAAGCUCUUCUUCUCAGAAUUCAGAUUCUAGGGUUUCGUUUCCUUUCCCUCUUCUUUCUCAGAAGUUAAACCCCGCCAAAACCUUCUCAGUCCUCUACAUUUUGCCUCUUCGCUUUCCACAUUUCACCUCCAUUAUCAAUUUCUAUCUUCCAGGAAAAUCCAACUCCUCUGGACCUGCCACAUCAAUCUAUUCAUGGCCAAAACCAAACCAGGCAAAAAAGACCUCGAUUCCUACACUAUCAAAGGCACCAACAAAGUUGUUCGACGUAUGUAC